GUGUGGGAUCUCAGGGGUAUGCUCGGCUGUCACUCGAGGCUUUCAUUAGUGGUUGUGCAUUAGUCAUCUGUCAAGUAAGUAAAGUGGGAGUCUGACAAGGUGUACUAGUCUAGUCAGUAGGUAGGUAGGUUUUUUUGGUCGGCAAUCGAAGGAUCUGCAACCCUUUUUUGUUGUGAGGAGGCAGAUAGAUAUGGAAGGGAUGAGGAGGAGAAGAUGUGAAUAUUCGGAGGGGAGCGGAGCGGAGGGCCCCUUCCCUUGAGUUUGUUAGUGACUGGAUGGCGAGCGCAGGUUGAGGUGUGAGUUAUAUCUAUCAUGUCAUAGAAUUUUAGCUAAAACUUCAAGUCACAACUCAAGAAGAAAAAGGACAAAUCGUGACAUGAAUGCUGUUAAUUUAAACUGGGCUGUGAAUUGGGCAUGUUUGCACUAUCACAGCCGAAUUUGGUAUGCUUGUUUUGCCUAAAAAAAUAGAAAAAAAUGGUAUGCUUUUUUCUCUUGCUGUGAGUUGAAUUUACGACUGAAAUUUUCUAACACAUUAGAUGUAUGCUAUUUCUUUAUACUCAAAUUAUUUUAAUAAUUCUCCAGGACUUAUAGUACAAGUUUUCGUUGUUCGGUGCACUGGUAGCACAAAAACUCUGGGUGUAGGUUGAGGUACCGGUGCACGCUCUCUAGGUUGAUGUAGCAGGUUGGUUGUAUGUACCGGGUAUAACACAAGCAGUCGCUGCCGCAAGACCAGCAAACCAUCGAGGUGCCCUGAAAACUAGAAAUCAUGGACAAGAAAAUGGUCACUGCCUGCGCUCGCAACACCAAGAAGAUGGUUCGGGUCCAGUUUCUCAGAGAUGGGGUUGAGUGCAGGCGCCGCAAGACAAGGGAUUGAACCAGCCAUGGAUGAUGGAUACGACAGAGAGAUGAUGUGGCCUUGAUACCAUACAAGGUUUUGAGGCUGGAAGCAUGUGCCCUUGGGCAGGGAUGCGUACGUGUUAUAUGGAGCAAUCACAUUACAUAGAUUUGGUUCGUUCGCUUGAGCUUAAUCCACAUAUUAGCUAUACAGAGAUAUGGAUCAGUCUCAGCUAGCUAACCACCCACAACAACACACGCACGACCCUAGGCCUUCUAGAUUAGAUACUUGGUUUAUACACUACCGAACACACGUACAAUAUCUCCAACAAUAUUGAUCAUGCUAAGUUAUAAACCAAAGAAAGCAUUACACACAAUAAUAAUCAUUAAAACCACUAUUUUGAACAAAUUUGAACUAAAGCCAUGGCACUUAUUUUGGGAUAGAGGAAAGUAGUUACCUACAUAAGCUCCAACAUUUUGAGACCUCAUCCUUGACGGAUAUUUCUUGCCAGUGAAGCCCAACCCAUGGCCACGUGCACAUAAGCUCGAUCAUACAUGUGGUCUGUAAAUGAGAACCAACCAAUCCUCCAUUUUCUCUCGAGCAAGAAGCCACAAAAGACAAUCCACAAACCAACUACAAAUCCUAUGCACAUGCUGAGGUAUAACGAAACCACAUCACUCAUUCCUUCAUUAUGCUCUUGGGGAGCAUAUGGAAUUAUGUCAGUUCGUGAGCAAUUCCUUGGGACAGGUGGACCACAUAGACCUGGGUUGCCAGUAUAUAUGGACGCUUGGUCCUCUAGUGUUCUUAAUUGGUUCCCGGAUGGUAUAGUCCCAGUCAGAUCAUUAUAUGACAAGUUCAAGCGGGUUAGUGACGUUAGAGAUGAUAUGCUUGUAGGGAUUUCACCAGAGAGCCCAUUGUGCGAGAGGUCAAAAGAUUCCAAAGCUUGUAGCGCACCGAUGCUUUGGGGUAUUAUGUCAGUCAGACUAUUCCAGGAGAAGUUCAAGUUCUUUAAUGCAAUGAGCAUGCCAAUUUCCUUAGGAAUCUGCCCGCUCAAACUGUUGCUGGAAAAAUCAAGGUUUACCAUGUAUGCUAUACUUUUGGUAUAUUCAAGCACUUGACCUUUUAUCUCCACCUCUACAGUAUAAGCAUCAGUGGACAUGGCCUUAGAAACUCCACCAACUACAAUAUAAUUGACAAGGUCAAAAAGGCCACCACUAUUAUUGGAAGUAAAAGUCAUAUAUGAUCAUUGGUUGGUUACUCGUGGGGACGGGUUCCCCGUGGGUUUUGAAAACCCGACGGGUUUAGGGGAUGGCCAAAAUUUUAACCCCGCACACGUUGAUGGGGACGGGGACGGGUUUGCGAUUUUCUCGUGGGGAUGGGUUUGGGCAAGCAAAACCCGAUGGGUUUCGUCCCCGUUGCCAUCUUGAAUCAUGUAUGCUUGUGUUCGAAACAUCAAGAUAAGUGAUCGUUGGUUGGUUAAGCCAAGAUGGAAACUUGGGCCCUAGUAUACAAGAUCCAAAGCCUGAGUAGGAUAAGUUGAAUGGAGUUAUCCAUGUACUAUCGACCUUCACAGUUAAGGAAUUACCUGAGAUAUCUAGGGUUUGUAAGGUGCUCAGAUAUGUGAGACGGUCCUCGGUGAUUGUACCAUGUAGGUUGUUGUGGGCCAGCGAUAAUUCAUCCAAAUUUAUGAGUUCCCGUAUACUAACGGGUACCUCUCCAUACAAAUCGUUGUUGUCGAGGUUGAUCUUGGCCAAGCUGCUAAAGUUCCCUAACCGAUGCAGUAGCUCUGCCACAUCCAUGAUGAUGAAGUUGGUUUCUAAUACGAGCUCUGUUAGAUUUUGUAGUUUCUGGAAGCUUAACGGCACCAUGCCAGUGAACUUGUUCGAACCAAGAUACAAACUCUGAAGAGAGGUCGAGUUCCCCACAUCGUCAGGGAUUGGACCAUCGAUUCCGCAAUCAGUUAGGUAGAGAUUUUGGAGGCUGGGUAGACCCCAAAGCAAAUUUUUGGCUCCAAGAGAUGUGUUGAAGGAGUUUGCAAUAAGGCUGAGGGACUCCAGGGAUGUGAGAUUUGAAUGCGCCGGGGGAGACAUAGAGUUCUGAAGCGCACAAUAACUUAAAUCAAGGUCUGUCAAACGGGGGAGCAUGUUGAUAGCAUGAAGCCAGUUGACGGCAGCGAUGAGGUCCACGCCAGACAUGCCGAGGACCUGAAGCUUCUGUAGGCACGACACCCAUGUGAGGUCAGGCGAGUAGGAGCCAUGUGCCAUAUAGUUGAGCUGAAGGCUGACCAAGUUCGAGAGGUUGCCGAGGUGGGGUGGAAUCCGACCACCAAAAUGGGAGUCAGAGAGGUCGAGAUGCGUGAGGCGCCCACGCCCGAGGGAGCCAAUGAGCUCCGGGAUGGGCUGGCCACCGAAGUUGUUGCGUGAGAGGUCCAGCUUCUUCAGAUGUCAUAAGGUGAGCAAGGAGGAGCGAAUCUCACCUCCAACGCGGUCCAUGAACGAGUCGAGCGGCCAUCCGCUGUUGAUUUUGAGCAUGAUGACAUGGCCGGUCCGGUUGCUGCAAACGACGCCCGUCCACUGGCAGCACUCCACACCUCGCCAUGACGACAGGAAGUUGAUGGGGUCGGUGAGGCCGACCUUGAAGUCGAGAAGCGCGUUCCGCUCGCGGGGGAUGCAGAGGGUGCCUCCUGGCGUUGGUGGCAGGGCUGGGAGGAUCGGGUGGCGGGGCAUCGUGAAGAUUGCUCUGCUGUGGCUGACCAAGCACAUGGUCAAGAUCAUCGUAACCCGGAGCAGCUGCCUCGGCACGGCCAUUUUGUGUGUGCGUGUGUGUGGACUCUUGUUUCGUUGGUUGGGUAUUUAUUUGCGAAGGAGGUGUGCGUGAUUGAAAAGAAUUCCACAAGCGGGUCAGCCAAUUCGUUCAUUCUUCACAGCCCGUCGGGUACAUGACAAGGAAAUGCCCGGUCCUUGUGGUUAGUUUCAUUGACUUGAGUGAUAUAUAAUUAGGCCAGUCUGUACCAGUUAGGUGUGUACUUGUGUGGUCAUCAUGGAUGGAUGUCAUGUCACGGUCUCAUCCCGUAGAAAAUCUUCCGUUUUCCUAUUUUCUUUGGAUAUCACUGGCUCUGUGGAACGCUUCGACCACACGACGACGAUGGCGAUCCCAAUGAAAACGAGCGGUACCGACGCAUAUGCUUCACCAUGCUCGUGUCCUCCUUGCUCCAUUUGCGAAGCCUGCCUUCACCCACACAGAAUCAGUAUCGCACGACAUGAGUGCUGCCGGUGGACGGACGUCGUUUGCAUUGACCGGACCGGCCACGUUGUCUCGCUCGAAAUCAGCAGCGGAAACUUCUACCCGUACGGGGCUAAGAAACGCCUGGGAGGUGAGAUACGCUCCUCCUUACUCAAUUUACCACUUCUGAAGAACCUGGACCUCUCAGGCAACAACUUCGGCGGCAAACCCAUCCCGGAACUCGUCGGCGCCCUAGGGAGGGGCACCUCACACAUCUCGACCUCUCCCACUCCAAUUUCGGCGGCCGGAUUCCUCCCUACCUCGGCAACCUUUCGAAUUUGGUCAGCCUUCAGCUCAACGGUAUGGUCCACGGCUCAUACUCGCCUGAUGUCGCAUGGGUGUCACGCCUUAGGAAGCUGCAGGUCCUCGGCAUUUCUGAGGUAGACCUCAGCGCAGCCGUCGACUGGACUCAUGCUAUCAACAUGCUCCCCUAUUUGAUAGACCUUGAUUUAAGUUCUUGUGGGCUUCAUAACACUGUACCUCCCCCAGUGCAUUCCAAUCUCACAUCGCUGGAGAGCCUUUCCCUUGAAUCAAACUCCUUCAACACAUCUCUUGGAGUGCCAAAAUGGGUCUGGGAUCUACCUAGCCUCCAAAUGCUCGACCUAUCAGAGUGCGGAAUCAAUGGUCCAAUUCCUGACACCGUGGGGAACUUGACCUCAAUUCAGGGAUUGUAUAUUGGUUGGAACAAGUUCACUGGCACAGUGCCAUUGACCUUCAAGAGACUGAAGAAACUACAAGGGCUUGUAUUAUCCUCAAACUUCAUCAACAUGGACGUGGCAGAGCUACUGCAUCGGUUGCCAUCAGAUGAAUUACAUGCGAUGGGUUCAGAGGACAACUUUCUGACAGGGAGCUUACCAGAAUGGCUAGGGCACUUUAGCAACUUGACCAUGAUCAAUCUCAACACAAACGAGCUGUCUGGAGAGAUACCUGUUGGUAUAUGGGAGCUCGUAAAUUUGGAAGGAUUGUUGCUAGCCCACAACAACCUACAUGGUACAAUCACUGAGGACUAUUUCACAAAUAUGACCACCUUACGAUACCUAAAUAUCUCUGGUAAUUACAUAACCAUCACGGUCAAUAGUACAUGAAAAACUCCAUUCAGCUUAGAGAUAGCAAGCUUUAGAUCUUGCAUACUAGGGCCCCAGUUUCCAGACUGGCUUAACCAACCAGCGAUACUUUAUCUUGAUGUUUCAAACACAAGCAUACACGAUAGCAUACCUAUCUGGAUUGCAAAUUCCUCUGCUCAAUAUUUGGAUUUGUCAAGAAAUCGCUUGGUCGGAAUGCUUCCUACAUUUUCCCUAUUAUCUCCCUUGGAAAUACUGGAUGCCAGUUCUAACCAGAUUGUUGGCUCGAUUCCAAUACUUCCAAAUAAUCUACUCUACUUGGACCUCUCUGGAAACAAUCUACCAGGCGCACUGCCAUCAGAUAUAGGAGCGCCAAUGCUAGAAGUACUCCUUCUCUUCAACAAUUCCUUUUCUGGAACUAUUCCCUGCUCGCUACUCCAACCGCGAGAAUUGGUAUUUCUAGACCUAUCAAAAAACCUGCUAAAUGGGUCAUUUCCCAAUUGCCCUCAAGGAUUUAAAACCUCAACCAUUACCAUGCUUUGGUGCGGGUCUCUAGCUUUGGUGCGGGUCAGCAGGAUUCCUUCAUUCCUCACGUACAGCCCGUCAGGUCCGUGACGUUAGUUUCAUUAACUUGAGUGAUAGUAUAUAGUUAGGCCAGUCUGCACCAGUUAGCUGUGUACUUGUGUGGUCAUCAUGCAUGGAUGGAUGUCACGGUCUCAUCCCGUAUACAACCUUCAAUUUUACUAUUUUCUUUGGAUAUCACAGGCUCUAUGGAACGCUUCGACCACUCGACGAUGAUGGCGAUCCCAAUGAAAACGAGCGGGCAGGAUAGAGAGGUACCGACCGACGCAUAUGCUUCACCAUAUGUUUUCGCAAGGGGCAAUGCUAGACCUACAUAAUAGUUGUUAUGUUCUUUACGUAAAUAGCAAUAUGGAGCAAUAUUAGUGGAUCAUUAGGCGGGAAGGGGCCCACAACUCUGAAAAUAAGGGGCGGGGAGAAGAUUAGACAGGCAUGUUACGUAGGUCUUCGUAGCGGUUUGCAUAGAUGUAGGAUUAUUGUUUCGCAAGAUCACCAUCAUGCUCAUGUCCUCCCUGCUCCAUUUGUGAAGCCUGCCUUCACCCACACAAAAUCAGUAUCGCACGACACGAAAAUGGCAAGAAAUUAGAAGAAAUUAAAUGAGAAAAGGAUAGACCAUAGCGGAGCAAAUGGGAGCUCGCUCCCUCGGGUCGCAGCUACCCUCCCAGCCCAGCACUCGCCCGACUUCCCACCACCGGUCAUAACCUUUAUGUCGCCCCUUGUCACCAUGGCUCACCCGCCGGUGCUGGCGUUCACCGACGAUAGCCGAAGCUGGUGGUCCCACACCUCGUGGUCGGUCGAGUAGUUCUGUGGCCGGCGUCCCUCCGUGAUGUCGUUAUUGUACCCGUGGUCACCAUACAUGUAGUAGAGCUCCGCAUCGUCGCGGACAAUCUAGGCGGCUCUCGGAGGGUGGCGGGNNNNNNNNNNNNNNNNNNNNNNNNNNNNNNNNNNNNNNNNNNNNNNNNNNNNNNNNNNNNNNNNNNNNNNNNNNNNNNNNNNNNNNNNNNNNNNNNNNNNNNNNNNNNNNNNNNNNNNNNNNNNNNNNNNNNNNNNNNNNNNNNNNNNNNNNNNNNNNNNNNNNNNNNNNNNNNNNNNNNNNNNNNNNNNNNNNNNNNNNNNNNNNNNNNNNNNNNNNNNNNNNNNNNNNNNNNNNNNNNNNNNNNNNNNNNNNNNNNNNNNNNNNNNNNNNNNNNNNNNNNNNNNNNNNNNNNNNNNNNNNNNNNNNNNNNNNNNNNNNNNNNNNNNNNNNNNNNNNNNNNNNNNNGUCAACGACGGCGGCGCUGUUUGGAGUCAUUGAUCCGCUUGUUGAGACCAAACUGCUUUCUGAUGGUUGCCUCGAAGAAUACAUUUUUUUGGAAAUGAUAAAUCCUGAACGUUCAGAAUUUAAGCAUGACAAUCCGAAAAAAUUUCAUGGCAACUUUAGUUCACGCGAGGUUGGCAAAUAUGACAAUUUUCUGACAAAAAAAUAAACCAGGACAAAGUUACCAUGUUUUAACAACUAUAGUUGCCACCGCCUCAAAUGAAGUUGCCAUGAAAAAUGGUUUGAGAUGACAUGCUUAAAAUCCGAACAUUCGGGAUUUAUCUGGUCCUUUUUUAGCACCUUCCUAUGCUGGUUAAUUUUUGAAAAAACUUGCACGAAGAAUACAUAUUUUUUAGCACAAUAAGAACCAUGCCACAAGAAGACCGUCACAAAGAUAUGGAUGACGUUGCCCCUCGUUCGAGCGUGUGGCUUGCAGGAUGUGGCUUUCUAGAAUAGUAUAGUGUACCACGUAAUUUUGCUUUUUUUUUUUGCUGAAUUUUGAGGACAAGGGGAGAUAUAUAGCUCCUUUAUUUUUGGAGAAGUUGCACAAAGAUUAAAUAUUUUACUAGCAGAAUAAGGACCGUGCCAGUGCGAGAGAAGACCGCCAGCUGCCUGAUACGGAUGGCGUUGCUGGUUCCAUGACUCGAUCCCGUUGUCACUGUCACACAGCUGGAUUGGAUCUGCACAUACGUAGACGUAGUUUUCCUGUAGAAUUGAGUGAUUUUCUAACGAAAAUAGUUGCCAUUGGAAUUUCAUCCAUCCGCUAAAGACAAUAACCUCGCGCUCUAGCUGGCUGGCGUAGACUGACCUAAUUUUCACUCAAGUCAAGCUAACUUGAUGGACGGGGCAUUUCCUUGUCACGUAGUAGUGAGGACCAUCAUGAAAGCUGGUUUGGUUUGGAUCGAUCUGAGAGAUUGAAACCUACUCCCCCCGCCUCAUAAUAUAAAAGCGUUUUUGACACUAUACUAGUGUCAAAAACGCUCUUAUAUUAUGGGACGAAGGAAGUAGCAUCAUGUUGAUUGUCAUCGCUGACUCGCGACAGUUUGUUGGGUGACUUGCACAAUUGAAGAAGAUCGCGUAGUAGCAGGUGCUCUGAUCGCUCCUCUUCCUGCUUCGGCGCAGCGGCGAGAUCGAGGGGCGAGAGUAGGUUGGGGCGAUAACCACCAAAGACGUUCCAACUGCGGGCGUUCACCGACGACAGCCAAAGCUGGUGGUCCCUCACCUUCUUGGUCCAGUAGUUCUGUCACUGGCGUCCCUCCAUGAUAUCGUAAUUGUACUCAUGGCCUCUGUACAUGUAGCUGAGCUCCGCAUCGUCGCCGUCGAUCUAGGCGGCUCUCCGAGGGUGGCGGGGGUGGGUGUCGCCAGAGUGGAUCUCGGCGGCAUGUGAGUCAAUGACGGCGCCGCUGGCACCCAUAUCAAAACUAUGACGCAGCUCCAAGCCUUGAUCCCAUUUGUAAUAACCAUGUGGCGCCAGCCGCGAGAUCACCCAGAAGCGGAGCCUUCAGCGAGGCAGACCGAGCUCAUGCACAACGAUGCACGGCCGACCAUGCAGCUCGAGGACGCCGACCACCGUGUCCCCUACAACAUCGAAUGGCGGAAGGCGGCUCAUGCGGUGCGUCUCGCUUGCCACGUCGACCACCAGGAGCAUAUUGGGCUUCUUGCCCGACUUGCGCUCCUUUGUGAGCAAGUACAACUUGCCGUGGAUGAGCAUUGGUGGCGAGCGCAUUCCCUGGCACCGCAAGAGCUCCUGGAGCAGACACCAAUGACCGCUGGUGGCAGCACCCAACAUGAACACGUACAUGUAGCUCGGGCGCUCCACCAUGCCGUGGGAGUCGGAGAAGGAGAGACCGAAGAGCUUGUACUGGCAUGUCGACGGGCUAUACCCCAUGGCGUAAAUGUGCCUCGCCCUGCAACUUGUCGCCUGUGAUGGGGUUGCAGAAGAUGAUCGGAUACGACCUGUCCGUCGCGGCGAGGCACAGGAAGCCCUACGUUGCAGGUGUUGGCACCCUCGUCACGCUGCUCUUGCCCGGCUCCUGUGUCUCUGUGACAAGCAGGGCCUCCGCACAUGCGCCGGAGACGACGUGCACGGCGUGGGUGUGGAGGGCGAGAAAGGAGCGGUCGGUGAGGACGACGCGCCAUUGCCUGCACACGCAGCGGCCAACGGCGACGGCCCUCGUCGGCAGCCUCAGCAGGAUCUGGCGGAGGGUCUCCUCCACCGCUGAUUCCAUCAUCGUCGUUGUCGAGCGAAACGCCACAAUAGAUCGAUCAGGUCAUCGACAUGGAUCGAUUAUCGGGCGUCGCAUGUAUAUAUUGCUCAUGCGCUUGAUCGAAAACUUGGUUGGUUUCCGUGCGGGACAACCUAGAGCGAACAUGCGCUUGAUCGGCGGCUCGCAUAUUCCCUUCGCUUUUUUUUCCGAAAAAACUAACGCCCAUACGUGUGGCAUAUUGCACAUCGCCCACACGUCUCCAUCACCACUCAUUUUGCCACGUAGGAACAUAUGACAUCAGUAGAAAUCUUUUUGGUUUUCGGCUUCAAAAUAUUUUAUCUCCUAAUUAAAAAAUUAAAACAAAAAUCCAUUUUUACUAUUAAAUCCGUCUCGACAAGAUCUUCAAAACUAGACCCUAUGUUGAUAUGUUUCGACGAAUUUUUUUUUUGCCCAAAAGUUGCCAUGAUGUUUACACUGUAGUUGCCAUAGUGUUUAAACUAAAGUUGCCAUCUGGCAAUUUUAGUUUGUAGAGCAUGUCAAUUUUAGUUUUUUUAUGAUGGCAAUUCUAGUACUUUGACUAUGAAAAUUAUUUUUUGUAUGAACCAUGGCAGUUUUAAGUGCAUGUAUCAUGGCAAAUUUAGUUUAUGAUUCAUGGCAAGUCUAGUUUCUUAAUUUCCCAUUUUAUAAUAUGUCAAAAUUUACUCUUAAGUGUAGAAAAAAAUAGCUGAAACAUGUCAUGGCAACUUCAGUGUAAACACCAUGGCAAUUUAUAUGCAAUAGACAUGACAAUUUUUAACUCAAGAAAAAUUUCGUCGAAAUAUAUUAAUAUGAGAUCUAGUUUUGAAGAUCUCGUCGUGAAAAAUUUAAUGGUGAAAACGGAUCUUCGAUCGGAUUUUUCAUUUAAGAGAUAAAAAGUUUUAAAAACUGAAAAUCUAAAAAGAUUCCGAGGUGCAUGCAUGUGGUGACAUGGCGCAGUACGUGUGGGCGGUUUUGGCUCCCACCACAUGUGCGGGUGUUAGCGUUGUUCUUUUUUUCCUGGUCCUCCAUCGCAUUGCGUGUUUUUCUUUCUUGACGCAUCAUCGCAAUGCGUGUUUUUUAACACUGUAAUUUCAAAAAAGGUCUUAUAUUUUUAUGCCGAGUAGUACUACUUUCAAAAUAAGUAGUGUUCCUUUUUUUUUGUUAGGGAGAACUCUUCGUCAAUUGGUAGUCCCCCUCCGACCAUGUUUCUCCAUAGCUUUUCUUCAUCCAGCCAAUUUUUUCCCACCACAUGAUAUUUGACCACAUCUUUCUAACACGCCACUAAAUCAUAUUAAUUUAUUUACCCUUUACAGCGCUACAUGAAAUUCAUCUUAAUUAACUUACCUCUUCCAAUAAUGUGGAAUUGCGCCAUUCGACUCCACACCAUAUUUCACCGCACCCUUCUGGUAUGCCACUCAAUCAUAUUAAUUUACUUAUUAUGCACAUGAUGUUGGGCCAGUCCCCACACCGAAUACUUCCAGCGACGGUGAUACGAACGACGAUGACAGACAAAGCUUUACGCCGAGAUGCGCUGUAGGUAGCUAGCCUGAUUUACUCUAGCCACGCCCAAGCUAGCUAGCUCGAUAUUGUUGAUCGAUUCUUGCCGCCGGCCAGAAUAUAACAACCGCGCACACACGAAUCGCUAGACGAGAUUGAUGGCCACAGGUACGAGAUACGUACCUGUUGAUUUCUUUAUUGAUUUCAAUCUCAACUCGUGGUGCAAGUUUUACUCGUGGACGCGCUUCUCGACUUCAGGGACGGCCUCUACGACCCAAGCAACCUCCUAUCGUCAUGGCGAGGUGUGGAAUGCUGCCGGUGGGCUGGCGUCGUUUGCAGCAACCGGACCGGCCACGUUGUCAAGCUGCGAAUCAGCAGCAUAUACAUCUCGGACACGUACAGCCUUGGAGGUGAGAUACGCUCCUCCUUGCUAACUUUACGACAUCUGAAGCAGCUGGAACUCUCAUACAACAACUUCGGAGGCCAACCCAUCCCGGAGUUCAUCAGCGCCCUCGGGCGCGGGCGCCUAACGCACCUCGACCUCUCCUACUCAAGAUUUGGCAGCCGGAUUCCUCCCCAGCUCGGCAACCUCUCGAACCUGGUCAGCCUUCAGCUCGAGUAUAUGGAAUAUGGCUCUUACUCACCUAAUCUCGCAUGGGCGUCGCGCCUCAGGCAACUGCAGGUCCUCGCUAUGAGUAACGUGGACCUCAGCUCUGCCGCCGAGUGGUUUCAUGUUAUAAACAUGCUCCCCUAUUUGACAUACCUUGAUUUAAGUGCUUGUGAGCUUCCGAACAAUAUGCCUCACCAGAUGCAUUCCAAUCUCACACAUCUGAACCAGCUAUACCUCUCAUGCAACGACUUUGGCGGCCAACCCAUCCCGAAGCUCAUCGGCGCCCUUAGGAGGCUGACACAUCUCGACCUCUCUUCGUCCAAUUUCGGUGGUCAGAUUCCUCGCCACCUCGGGAACCUCUCGAACCUGGUCAGCCUUGAUCUCAGCAGAAUGCCGCAAAAUGCUUACUCACCUGAUCUCACCUGGGUUUCGUCCCUCACGAAGCUGCAGGUCCUCAUCAUAACUGAGGUGGACCUCAGCGCCGCUGUCCACUGGACUCAUGCUAUUAACAUGCUCCCCAGUUUGAUAAACCUUGAUUUAAGUUCUUGUAGGCUUCACAACACCAUGCCUCCCCCGUCACAUUCCAAUCUCACAUCUCUGGAGACCCUCACCCUUUCUGGAAACUCCUUCAACGCAUCUCUUGGAGCCAAAAAUUUGGUUUGGGAUCUGCCUAGCCUCCAAGCGCUCUUCCUAGAUGACUGUGGAAUUGAUGGUCCAAUCCCUGACGCGGUGGGGAACUUGACCUCCAUUCAACACUUGUUACUUUAUUCGAACAAGUUCACUGGCACCAUGCCAUUGACCUUCAAGAAACUGAAGACACUACAACAACUCUUUUUGCAAGACAACUUCAUCAACAUGGAUGUGGCAGAGCUACUGCACCGGUUGCCAUCAGAUGCACUGCAGGAGCUGGUUAUGGACAACAACAAUUUGAAAGGGAGCUUACCAGCUCGUCUAAGGCACUUUAACAGGUUGAACACGCUCUUCCUCGACUCAAACGAGCUUUCUGGAGAGAUACCAGUUGGUAUACGGGAGCUCAAAAGUUUGAGUAGAUUAUCGCUAAGCUCGAACAACCUGCACGGUACAAUCACAGAGGGCCAUUUCACAAAUCUAACCACCUUAGAAUUCCUACUUAUCUCUGAAAAUUCCUUAACCGUGAAGGUCAACAGUACAUGGAAGCCUCCAUUCAAAUUAGUCUCAGCAGGCCUUAGAUCUUGCAUAGUAGGGCCCCAGUUUCCAGCAUGGCUUAACCAACCAACGAUCACCUAUCUUGAUGUUUCAAACACAAGCAUACAUGAUAACAUACCUGUCUGGAUUGCUAAUUCCAAUACUAGGUAUAUGGAUUUGUCAAGAAAUCGCCUUUUUGGCAUGCUUCCUACAUUUUCCCAACUUACUCAAUUGGAAGUACUGGACGUCAGUUCUAACCAUAUUGUUGGCCCGAUUCCACCACUUACAAAUAGUCUACGCUUACUGGACCUAUCUAGAAACAAUCUAUCAGGCGCAUUGCCAUCAGAUAUAGGAGCAUCAAAGCUAGAAGUACUGCUUCUCUUUGACAAUUCCUUUUCUGGCACUAUUCCCUGCUCCCUGUUUCAGUUGCAAUACUUGCUAUUUCUAGACCUAUCAAAAAACCUGCUAAAUGGGACAUUGACCAAGUGCCCUCAAGGACUCAAAACCUCAAAUACUACCUUAGUUAACUUGAACAACAACCGUCUUUCAGGAGCCUUCCCAUUAUUUCUUCAGAGAUGCAGAAAGCUACAGUUUUUGGAUCUGGCGUACAAUAAAUUUUCUGGGAGAAUACCAACAUGGAUCGCGUCAAAGUUACCACAAUUGGCAUUUUUGCGUUUGCGCUCAAAUAUGUUCUCUGGUGGCAUCCCCAGUCAACUAACUAUGAUGAAGGGGCUUCAGUUUUUAGACAUUUCAUGCAACAACAUAUCAGGGAGCAUACCACGCUCGCUUCAGAAUCUCAUAGCUAUGACACUUACUUCAAAUAAUAGUGGUGGCCUUUUCAAUCUCACUGAUUAUAAAGUUUUAUCUGCGGCCGCGUAUGCUCAGGCUUAUACUGAUAGUUUAUUGGUGAACAUAAAAGGUCAACAACUUGAAUAUACCAAAGGGAUCGCAUAUAUGGUGAACAUUGAUUUUUCUUGCAACAGUUUGACAGGACAAAUUCCUCAAGAAAUUGGAAAGCUCGUUGCAUUAAAGAACAUAAACUUCUCCUGGAAUAGUUUGACUGGCAUAAUACCCCAAUUUAUUGGUGAACUACAUGCAUUGGAGUCUUUUGACCUCUCACAUAAUGAGCUAUCCGGUGCAAUUCCUACAAGUUUAUCAGCUCUAACAUCACUAAGCCACUUGAACUUGUCAUAUAACGACCUGACCGGAACUAUACCCUCUGGGAACCAACUAAGAACUCUAGAGGACCAAGCGUCCAUCUACAUUGGCAACCCAGGUCUAUGUGGCCCACCUCUCACAAGGAAUUGCUCACGAAGAGACAUAAUUACAUAUGCUCCUCAAGAGCAUGCUGAAGGAAUGAGUGAUGUUGUUUCAUUGUACCUCAGCAUGUGCUUAGGAUUUGUACUAGGUCUCUGGGUUGUCUUUUGUGGCUUACUGUUCAAGAGGAAAUGGAGGGUUUGCUGGUUCUCACUUAUGGACCACAUUUAUGAUCGAGCUUACGUGCAAGUUGUUGUGGGUUGGGCUUCAUUGGUAAGAAAAAUCCGUCAAGGAUGAGAUCUCAAAUGCUCGAACAUCUCUUGAUACUAAUGAUAUAAGAAUAGCUUCAAUAAUCACCGUUGUGUGCAAUGGUCUCUUUGGUUUGUAACUUAGCGUGAUCACAUGUGAUAGUUAUUAUUAUUGGAAUUGUACCUGUACUCGGUAGUGUAUAAACCGAAUAUAAUACUCUAGAAGGGGCGUGAGUGUGUUCUUGUUCUUGUUGUACAUGGUUAGUCACUUGAGAUUGAUCCCAAUAUCUGUAUAGCUAGGGCGUGGAUAAAGCUCAAGCGAAUUAACCUAAUCUUGUAAUCUGGUUUUUCUAUAUAACACACACGCAUCCCUGCCCACCGGCAUAUGCUUCUAGCCUCAAAUCUGUUCACGCGAGCUCAUGUGAGCUCGAGCCAACAUACUCCACGUCCUCAUUUUUGCCACAACGUUGUAAAAAACUGAAAGAUGCUGCCUAGGCUAUAAUGUCAUUUUUUUGUUGAUACUGCUUGGCUGAUUUAUUCAUUUGAUGACAUGACGACAGUGCAUCAUCUCUCUCGGUCUCGAUAAAGUAGUACGGUACAUACAACCAACCAAUUAAUUAGUCAAGAGUCAACUCUUACCUCAACAAAUUAGUCUCUCUCUCUCUCUCUCUCUCUCUCUCUCUCCCUCUCUCUCUCCCUCCCAACCUGCCAAUAAUAGUCACAUCUCCAUUCAACAACCAACCAAUGCUUCUCCAUGCAGUCACUAACAAACUAAAGGGGAGGGACUCUCGGCUCCUAAUAUAUUCACAUCUUCUCAUCCUCCUUCCUUCCAUAUCUGUCUGCCUCCUCAUCACAACAAAUAACCUGUUGCGGAUCCUUCAACGUCUCACCACCCACGCUGACCAAAAACCUACCUACUGACUAGACUAUUAGUACACCUUGUCAUGACUAAUGCACAACCACGAGUGAAAGCCUCAAGUGACAGCCGAGCAUACCCUUGAGAUCAUACUUCUUCUAGCUAGACAGCGCCCCUGAUCCAGAAACUGCUGCAGAUACGGUGAAACUAGCCGCGCUGCUACUAUGGAUGUUGUGUAAAUCCAGUGGAGGGCCCUCAUGGCAUGCACCCUUUGACAGCACCAGCACCUCGCUGCUGCCAUCUGGAACAUGGCCGCCAUGGCACAACGGCAGGUAAAUCAGCUCUAGGUACAGUUCGCCUGCCACCGGUUCCAGCAAAGGGUCGACCAGCCGCACACCGCACUAGUCAUACUGCUUGCAGAGGCUAACCAGUGAAGAAGGCACAACUUGGUCUGUUAUGUCAAAUAUAGCUUCACUAUGGUCAAACAAUGCUUCCGUGUCAUGGUUAGCGGUCGAACCAGGCUGCAUCCAAACCAAAGAAAAAGUUAAAUUAAAUAUAUAAGAUCAAGUUGACACAAUGAGCAUGCAGCAGGCAGCAAGAGUGAAAGAAAAAUCACCGAUGGACUAUCUUGGCCUCCGUGAUUCGUCAAGGUAUGACCCAUCAUAUCGUCUAGCUGCUGUAUAUGUACCAUAUCCUAUUAUUGGACCUCCAUCACAUUUGGUGCAACCGAAGGGAGAUGAUAGCAUGGGCUAUAUAUUAUCGAUUUGGAUAGUGGUCCAAUAAUAUGAUAGGUGUUUAGGCACAGUGUCCUAUCUUGCCAGUUGUGGCUAUUUGUAUGAGUUCUUAUUCUCGUUUGGCUAUUUGAGAUAUUAUUUGUACUUUGAGAGUCGUUACUAUUUAAUAAAGGUUUCUUUUAUUAUGCAGUUGUGCCCCACUACUCAGUUUUGCCAUUAAAAAUUACAACUCCUAAAAAAUGUCAUCAUUUUCGUGCGAUGCUUGCUCAAAAAUGCCCUUAGAUAUCUAAAAAACACCAUUAUUUCAUUGGUUGUUUGCUCAAAAAUGCCAUUGAACAUCAUUAUUGCCAAGUCAAACCUGAUCAUGUUAUAUGACAAAAAUACCCUUAAACCCAUAUGUCAGCUCUCUCUAUCUCACAAUGACAAGUGUGGGAUCCACUUGUCAAGAGUAAGCAAGCGAAUAAUUUUACAGGAAAACAAGAACGCUGUUGGGAUCAAGUGGAACUCACACUUUAUUUUAUCUCUACUCUUAAUGGACGAGUUGGUUGAAUAGUCCUCCACUUUUGACUGGUUUUUUUGUCUGGUUUUUUUUGUCUCCCUUCCCACCAUCCGACCGGUAUACUUUUUCUCCACUAUUUUCUUGUAAACAAACACUUUCCUACUGUACAAAAAGAGACAGAUCCUAACUUUGCUAACUUAUCCAAAUCAAGCGAUCCAUCUCAUCAAUACAAUUUGUUAGAGGAAACAAAUAACAAAUUUUAAGGAAACAAAUAACCGACUUUAAAGGAAAAAAAUCCAAUUUACUAAUACUCCUGCAUCAUGAUGGAAUCAGAACUUUCCUAACAGUUUUGCUAAAGCACGUCUAGAUGUGCCAUAAGUAUUGCACAUCUAAGUCCUAUGUCAUUGAUCUUACGUUGAGAUUCGUGAGGAUAUUUUUUUCUUUUUUUUCCUCUUUAUAUUUGAUUCACUCACUUAGAUGUGCAAUAACUAGAGCACAUCUAGAUGUGCCUUAGACACACCCUUUUCCUAAUACUCCUACAUGGCAAAUCACCACAUAUUCACUUGUCGUGGCUCCCGUUCCACGAAUAGGAAAUUCCCAGCAGCUUCGACCCCUUUCACACACGACCAUGGCGCCGCUGCCCAUCGCCGCCAUGCCACACGCGAGGGGGCUCUGCCAGUCGGACCUGGCCGCCUCGCUCCCUCGCGCCCGUGUGCCGGGGAGCGACACCGCGCGACGCAGACCGCUGGCCGCCGCGUGCGCCGGGCACAUCUCAGCCGGGAGCAGAGGAAUCGGGACCGAGGGCCACCGUGCGCACUAUGCGCUAGCCGUGCCUCCAGUGGGUCGGUGCAGCCAAGGUCGCCGUCUCGUUGGGGGCAACGUGCGAGUGCGGGCGUCAUGGGUCGCCGUCGUCGUGGACGGUGAGCGUGCCGAGGCUUCCGCUUGCGCGUGCAGGCCUGGCGUCAAGCCGCAUCGACGUUGUUGAGGUCGCCGACAGCGGCAGGUGCUAGGGGCCUCCUCUGCCUCGUGAUGCGGCUGUGCUACGGAGAGCCGGGCCGAGGGCCACUCGUAGGAGCAGCGCGUCGUGGCUGUGGUCUCCACCAUGAUGGGAGGACUGGUGCUACUGCAUGCCUCUUCCACGAGGAUAUUAGAGCAUCUCCAGCCAUGCCCCCAAACAAGGCCUCUUAGACGAUAUUUUGGCCACCGGCGCCGAAAAAUCGGCCCAGUUGCAUCCCCAAAGGCCCUUUUUUCCCCGGCUCGGGCCGAAAUUAGCGUCGGCGGACCCAGAACGAACCUUGCGCGCUGGGGCGCUUGGGGGCGCCGGCCGAAUCGUUUUUGGUGCGAAAAUCGACGGGCCAUCCUUGGCAGCGAGUCAGCUCUUCUCGUCGAUUCGUCGUCCUCAUCGCCUCGGUUCCCGCGGGGGAAUCAAUGCCAAAUUUGCCGCGCGCUGCCGCGCCGGUCAGCCUCCUCCAUUGAUGCCUCACGGGCGGCGCAGUGAAGACGGGACGACGCGCGCCACUCGCCCGCCACGCGUAUGCAUGGCGGCCACGCGAGCGCCGCCUAUAUAAGCCGCCCCUCCCGCACCGGUGAGCCACACACACACCUCGCUCUCCACCGCCGACGCCCCCGUUCCUCCCUCUCUUCUCGCUGUUUCCAGUUCACCCAAUUGCCGAGCGCUUCCCAGGCGAUGGCGCCGCGGCGAACGGCUUCGGCCGCCGCCACCUUCACGAGGACGAAGCCCGGCUUCUCCAUGAGACCGGUUACCCGGUCCCGCCGGACAUGCGGGUGCCCAGGGCGUGGAGGGUAAGCGCUGGCGGGGUUCCGGUGCCACUGCCGCCCACUAGGGCGGCCGGGCGUGCGGAGAUCGACCGUAUCCGUGCCUCUCUGCCGCUGGCGGCGAGAGAAGGGCCGAGGUACACCCCCGAUAGCUCGCUGUGGGAGCCAUACUUCCAUCGUCGCCACGCUUUUCAAAUGUUACGAUGAUUCUCCACUUUACUCUGAAAUUCUCCACUUUUAUUUUUGUUACGAUGAUUCUCCACUUUACUCUGAAGUUCUUUGAACUUUUCAAAUGUUUCACACUUGUGUUUCAUCAAGUAGAUAUACUCAUAUCUGCUCAAAUCAUCUGUGAAGGACAGAACAUAAUGAUACUUGUCGUGAGCUUUAAUAUUCAUCGGACCACAUACAUCAGUAUGUAUGAUUUCCAACAAAUCUGUUGCUCGCUCCAUUGUUCCGGAGAACGGAGUCUUUAGUCAUCUUGCCCAUAAGGCAUGGUUCGCAAGCACCAAGUGAUUCAUAAUCAAAUGAUUCCAAAAUCCCAUCAGCAUGGAGUUUCUUCAUGCGCUUUACACCAAUAUGACCUAAACGGCAGUGCCAUAAAUAAGUUGCACUAUCAUUAUUAACUUUGCAUCUUUUGGUUUCAAUAUUAUGAAUAUGUGUAUCACUACGAUCGAGAUCCAAUGAACCAUUUUCAUUGGGUGUGUAACCAUAUAAGGUUUUAUUCAUGUAAACAGAACAAUAAUUUAUUCUCUUACUUAAAUGAAUAACCGUAUUACAAUAAACAUGAUCAAAUCAUAUUCAUGCUCAACGUAAACACCAAAUAACACUUAUUUAGGUUCAACACUAAUCCCGAAAGUAUAGGGAGUGUGCGAUGAUGAUCAUAUCAAUCUUGGAACCACUUCCAACACACAUCGUCACUUCACCCUUAACUAGUCUCUGUUUAUUCUGCAACUCCCGUUUCGAGUUACUAAUCUUAGCAACUGAACCAGUAUCAAAUACCGAGGGGUUGCUAUAAACACUAGUAAAGUACACAUCAAUAAUAUGUAUAUCGAAUAUACUUAUGUUCACUUUGCCAUCCUUCUUAUCCACCAAUCACUUGGGGUAGUUCCGCUUCCAGUGACCAGUCCCUUUGCAGAAGAAGCACUUAGUCUCAGGCUUAGGACCAGACUUGGGCUUCUUCACUUGAGCAGCAACUUGCUUGCUGUUUUUCUUGAAGUUCCCCUUUUUCCUUUUGCCCUUUUCUUGAAACUAGUGAUCUUGUCAACCAUCAACACUUGAUGCUCUUUCUUGAUUUCUACCUUCAUCGAUUUCAUCAUCAUGAAAAGCUCGGGAGUCGUUUUCGUCAUCCCUUGCAUACUAUAGUUCAUCACGAAGUUCUACUAACUUGGUGAUGGUGACUAGAGAAUUCUGUCAAUCACUAUCUUAUCUGGAAGAUUAACUCCCACUUGAUUCAAGCGAUUGUAGUACCCAGACAAUCUGAGCACAUGCUCACUAGUUGAGCGAUUCUCCUCCAUCUUUUAGCUAUAGAACUUGUUGGAGACUUCAUAUCUCUCAACUCGGAUAUUUGCUUGAAAUAUUAACUUCAACUCCUGGAACAUCUCAUAUGGUCCAUGACGUUCAAAACGUCUUUGAAGUCCCGAUUCUAAGCCAUUAAGCAUGGUGCACUAAACUAUCAAGUAGUCAUCAUAUUGAGCUAGCCAAACGUUCAUAACGUCUGCAUCUGCUCCUGCAAUAGGUCUGUCACCUAGCGGUGCAUCAAGGACAUAAUUCUUCUGUGCAGCAGUGAGGAUAAACCUCAGAUCACGGAUCCAAUCCGCAUCAUUGCUACUAACAUCUUUCAACAUAAUUUUCUCUAGGAACAUAUCAAAAUAAAUACAGGGAAGCAACAACGCGAGCUAUUGAUCUACAACAUGAUUUGCAAAAUAUUACCAGGACUAAGUUCAUGAUAAAUUUAAGUUCAAUUAAUCAUAUUACUAAAGAACUCCCACUUAGAUAGACAUCCCUCUAAUCCUCUAAGUGAUCACGUGAUCCAAAUCAACUAAACCAUGUCCGAUCAUCAUGUGAGAUGGAGUAGUUUCAUUGGUGAACAUCACUAUGUUGAUCAUAUCGACUAUAUGAUUCACGCUCGACCUUUCGGUCUCCGUGUUCCGAGGCCAUAUCUGUAUAUGCUUGGCUCGUCAAGUAUAACCUGAGUAUUCCGCGUGUGCAACUAUUUUGCACCCGUUGUAUUUGAACGUAGAGCCUAUCACACCCGAUCAUCACGUGGUGUCUCAGCACGAAGAACUUUCGCAACGGUGCAUACUUAGGGAGAACACUUCUUGAUAAUUAGUGAGAGAUCAUCUUAUAAUGCUACCGUCAAUCAAAGCAAGAUAAGAUGCAUAAAAGAUAAACAUCACAUGCAAUCAAUAUAAGUGAUAUGAUAUGGCCAUCAUCAUCUUGUGCUUGUGAUCUCCAUCUUCGAAGCACCGUCGUGAUCACCAUCGUCACCGGCACGACACUUUGAUCUCCAUCGUAGCAUUGUUGUCGUCUCGCCAAUCUUAUGCUUCCACGACUAUCGCUACCGCUUAGUGAUAAAGUAAAGCAUUACAGCGUGAUUGCAUUGCAUACAAUAAAGCGACAACCAUAUGGCUCCUGCCAGUUGCCGAUAACUCGGUUACAAAACAUGAUCAUCUCAUACAAUAAAAUUUAGCAUCAUGUCUUGACCAUAUCACGUCACAACAUGCCCUGCAAAAACAAGUUAGACGUCCUCUACUUUGUUGUUGCAAGUUUUACGUGGCUGCUACGGGCUUAUGCAAGAACCAAUCUUACCUACGCAUCAAAACCACAACGAUAGUUUGUAAAGUUGGUGCUGUUUUAACCUUCGCAAGGACCGGGCGUAGCCACACUCGGUUCAACUAAAGUUGGAGAAACUGUCACCCGCAAGACACCUAUGUGCAAAGCACGUCGGGAGAACCGGUCUCGCGUAAGCGUACGCGUAAUGUCGGUCCGGGCCGCUUCGUCCAACAAUACCGCCGAACCAAAGUAUGACAUGCUGGUAAGCAGUAUGACUUAUAUCGCCCACAACUCACUUGUGUUCUACUCGUGCAUAUAACAUCAACACAUAAAACCUAGGCUCGGAUGCCACUGUUGGGGAACGUAGUAAUUUCAAAAAAAUUCCUACGCACACGCAAGAUCAUGGUGAUGCAUAGCAACGAGAGGGGAGAGUGUGAUCUACGUACCCUUGUAGACCGACAGCGGAAGCGUUAGCACAACGUGGUUGAUGUAGUCGUACGUCUUCACGGCCCGACCGAUCAAGCACCGAAACUACGGCACCUCCGAGUUCUAGCACACGUUCAGCUCGAUGACGAUCCCCGGACUCCGAUCCAGCAAAGUGUCGGGGAAGAGUUCUGUCAGCACGACGGCGUGGUGACGAUCUUGAUGUUCUACCGUCGCAGGGCUUCGCCUAAGCACCGCUACAAUAUUAUCGAGGAGUAUCGAGGAAGGGGGCACCGCACACGGCUAAGAAAACGAUCACGAGGAUCAACUUGUGUGUCUAUGGGGUGCCCCCUGCCCCCGUAUAUAAAGGAGUGGAGGAGGGGAGGGCCGGCCCUCUCUAUGGCGCGCCCUAGGGGAGUCCUACUCCCACCGGGAGUAGGAUUCCCCCUUUCCUAGUUCAACUAGGAGUCCUUCCAUGUAGUAGGAGUAGGGGACAAGGAAAGGGAAGAGGAAAGAGAAGGAAGGAGGGGGCGCAGCCCCUCCCCCUAGUCCAAUUCGGACUAGGCCUUGGGUGGGCGGCCUGCCUCUCCCUCUCCCCUAAAGCCCAAUAAGGCCCAUAUACUUCUUCUCCCGUAUUCCCGUAACUCCCCGGUACUCCGAAAAAUACCCGAACCACUCGGAACCUUUCCGAUGUCCGAAUAUAGUCGUCCAAUAUAUCGAUCUUUACGUCUCGACCAUUUCGAGACUCCUCGUCAUGUCCCCGAUCUCAUCCGGGACUCCGAACUCCUUCGGUACAUCAAAACUCAUAAACUCAUAAUAUAACUGUCAUCGAAACCUUAAGCGUGCGGACCCUACGGGUUCGAGAACAAUGUAGACAUGACCGAGAUACAUCUCCGGUCAAUAACCAAUAGCGGAGCCUGUAUGCUCAUAUUGGCUCCUACAUAUUCUACGGAGAUCUUUAUCGGUCAGACCGCAUAACAACAUACGUUGUUCCCUUUGUCAUCGGUAUGUUACUUGCCCGAGAUUCGAUCGUCGGUAUCUCAAUACCUAGUUCAAUCUCGUUACCGGCAAGUCUCUUUACUCAUUCCAUAAUACAUCAUCUCGCAACUAACUCAUUAGUUGCAAUGCUUGCAAGGCUUAUGUGAUGUGCAUUACCGAGAGGGCCCAGAGAUACCUCUCCGACAAUUGGAGUGACAAAUCCUAAUCUCGAAAUACGCCAACCCAACAUGUACCUUUGGAGACACCUGUAGAGCUCCUUUAUAAUCACCCAGUUACGUUGUGACGUUUGGUAGCACACAAAGUGUUCCUCCGGUAAACGGGAGUUGCAUAAUCUCAUAGUCAUAGGAACAUGUAUAAGUCAUGAAGAAAGCAAUAGCAACAUACUAAACGAUCGAGUGCUAAGCUAACGGAAUGGGUCAAGUCAAUCACAUCAUUCUCCUAAUGAUGUGAUCCCGUUAAUCAAAUAGCAACUCUUUGUCUAUGGUUAGGAAACAUAACCAUCUUUGAUUAACGAGCUAGUCAAGUAGCUAGAGGCAUACUAGUGACACUCUGUUUGUCUAUGUAUUCACACAUGUAUUAUGUUUCCGGUUAAUACAAUUCUAGCAUGAAUAAUAAACAUUUAUCAUGAAAUAAGGAAAAAAAUAAUAACUUUAUUAUUGCCUCUAGGGCAUAUUUCCUUCAAUGAGGAGGUGCCGAGUGAUGCCGGUGGAUGGGUGUCGUCUGCAACAACCGGACCGGCCACGUCGUCAAGCUCCAAAUCAGUAGCGUAUCACCUCGGACACGAAUAGCCUUGGAGGGAUACGUUCCUCCUUGUUCACUUUACGACAUCUGAAGUAGCUGGAACUCUCAUGCAACAACUUCGGAGGCCAACCCAUCCCGAAGUUCAUCGGCGUCCUUGGGCGCAGGAGGCUGGCGCAUCUCGAUCUCUCCAACUCAUAUUUCGUUGGUCGAAUUCCUCCCCACCUCGGAAAACUCCCAAGCCUAGUCAGCCUUAAACUAAACCUCUCAAACCUGUCAAGCCUUUCAAGUUGUCUAGAGAGAUACCAGUUGGUAUACGGGAGCUCACAAACUUGAACACAUUAUUGCUAAGCGACAAUAACCUACAUGGUGCAACCACUAAGGAACAUUUCACUAAUUUGAUUAUCUUACAAUACCUAUAUAUCUCUCAUAACUCCCUAACCUUUCCCGCAAAAAAAAAUGAUAACUCCCUAACCGUGAAGGUCAACAGUACCUGGAAAACUCCAUUCAGCUUAUCCACAAUAGGCUUUAGACUUGCAUACUAGGGCCCCAGUUUCCAGCUUGGCUUAACUAACCAACAAUCUUUUGGCUUUACAUUUCAAACACGGGCAUACACGAUAACAUACCUUUCUGGAUUGCUAAUUCCUCUCUUGAAAAAUUGUAUUUGUUAGAGAAUCGUCUUGUUGGCACGCUGCCUACAUUUCCCCUAUGAUCUCCUUUGACAAUACUAGAUGUCAGUUCUAACCAGAUUGUUGGCCCAAUUCCAACACUUCCUAAUAAGCUACAAUUCUUGGACCUCUCUAGAAACAAUCUAUCAGGAACACCGCCACCAGAUAUGGGAGAACUAAUGCUAGCAAUGCUCCUCCUCUCUAACAAAUCCUUUUCUGGAACUAUUCCCUGCUCCCUCCAACCAUUGCAAUUCCUAGACCUCUCAAAUAACAUGCUAAAAGGGACAUUUCCCAAUCGUCCUCAAGGAUACAAAACCUCUGUUCUUACCUUGCUUAAGCUGAACAACAACCGUCUUUCAGGAGAAUUCCCAUCGUUUCUUCAAAGAUGCAGAGAGCUAAAAUUUCUGGAUCUGUCCUACAAUAAUUUUUCUGGGAUAUUACCAACAUGGAUCAAGUCAUUGUUACUACGUUUGGCACUUUUGCGUUUGUGCUUAAACAUGUUCUCUGAUGCCAUCCCUGGUCAACUAACCAGGAUGAAGGGGCUUCAAUUUUUAGACAUUACAUGCAGUAACAUCUCAGGGGACAUACCACGUUCACUUGGGAACUUACAGCUAUGACCUCUGCUUACUAUAAUAGUGGUGGACUUUUCAACCUUCUUGAUGGAGUUGGAGCUCUGGACAUUUGCGUUGACGCUUUUACUGUAGUGGUACACAUAAAUAAAUAAAAUACAUCUAUUAGUGUUCAAAAAGAUUAAAAUUAACUAAUGACAUAGAGAUAUUUUUACAUGCUAUAAAAUUCACAUCCCACUUCGGUUCACAGCUUCCUAAACAAUGAAAGCAAAUUUACAGAGGAUUAGUGUUUUUUUGUUUCACGACCCACAUAUCGAAUUUGAAUUGGCAUUCCAAAUAGGUGAGUAUGGAUGUUGCUUAUCGAAGAUUUUUCAAUCUACUAAGAAGACUUCCUGCAACUUGGCAGCACGCUCGUCAUCACGGUCGCACAUCGGCGGCGGGCAUGGCGAGAGGUGGCGUUUUUUGGGCGUCCUGUGGCUUCGGAGAACACGUAGCACCUGGUGCUCGAGCCGUUCUUCUGCUUGUUGCGGGGCAGUGACGAGAUCGUGAGGCGAGAGUAGGUUAGGGCGGUAGCCACCGAAGAUGGUCCAUUGGCAGCCGUCCGAAAUCGGCAACCGGUGAUGAUGAUCCCACACCUUGUUGUAGCCUGGUAUUCGUCCACGUCGUUCCGUGGUGUCGUACUUGUACACGCGGUCACCAUACUGGUAGCACAGCAUGCCGUCGUCACCGUCGAGCCAGGCUGCCCUCGGGUGGUGAUGGUGGCGGCAACGGAGGAGAUCGGUUAGGUGCCGCAGUUGGAGAACGGUGCCGUCGUUAGUGACGCCCGUUUCAAAGCUGUAGCGCAGCUCCCAGCUGAGUGGCGCAGGUGACAGGACCCAGAACCGGAGGCAGUGGGAUGGACUCUUUUCGUGCACGGCGACGCAUGGCCGGCCGUGCAGCUCGAGGACGUCGGUCGCCGCUUCAUUGGCGCCGCACCUGGGGAGGCGGCAGGCGUGUUGCGUCUUGCUGGCCACGUCAAAGAUGAGCAGCCUAUCGGGCUUCCUGUCGCCCUCCCGCUCAUUGGCCAGUACGUACAGCUUGCCGUCGAUGAGAGCAGGUGGCGACCCCAACCCGUGGCCCUGGAAGAGUCCCUUAUGCCGGCGCCACACGCCUGCCUCCGGCCCGCGGCCCAAGGUGAGCACGUGCACAUAGUUCCCCGUCGCCGCGAAGGAGAGGCGGAAGAGCUUGUACUGCCGCGUCGACGCGCUGUACCCCAUGGCGUACAUGUGCGGGUGCACCCUCAAGGGCACGUCCGACGUCUCGCUCCUGGCCGGCGGCUCCACCCGCAGCCUGUCGCCGGUGAUGGGAUUGCAGACGAAGAGCGGCAGCUGCCAGCCGCCGGUGUUUGCGGCGAGGAGGACGAAGCCGUUGCAGGCGUUGGCGGCGCCGUACAUGGCGGUCACGUCGAGAGCGCACAUGGCCGUUGACGUCGACACGUUGAACACCGUCGUGUCGGGGUUUGUGCCCGGCGUCUGGGUCACGGACAGGAGCAGCGCCUCCGUGCCGGCGCCGGAGACGACGUGUGUGGCGUGGGCGUGGAGGUUGAGGAAGGAUGGAUCCUUGAGGACGCGGCGCCAUAGCCGGGACACGCAGCGGCCGCAAGCGACGUCCCUCGUCGGCAGCUUCAGCAGGAUCUGGCGCAGGGUCUCCUCCGCCACAGCCUCCAUCUUCACUACGAUCGAUAGGUGUAGUCCUCGCCAUCCUAUAUAUUACAGCCCGAUGGGAUUCAGUACGUACACAACCUUGCACGGCACGUGAGUAUUCUGGAUCGUAUAGGAUUGGGAGUGCAUUACGAAGUCAGUUAGCUAAUAGGCUAUCUUAGUGCAUGUACAACUGGACGCCUCAAACUCUUUUUAUAUGCCCAAACGGAUAAUAAUCGAUAAAAAAAACCGAUCUAGACGGACUCUUCAAACUGACCUCAAAUGCCCGGACUAACCGGCACCACUUGUAUCCAGCCUAAGGCAGAUAUGGGAAGGCCCGGGCACGUCUGCCAUGUCGGAUCCGGACCACGCUGGCCCACCAUAACCCCACAUAUAUUCGUCCUAGUCCGCUUCUUGUACCAAAUCCUAACCACUCCACGCCACUCCACUCUGCCCCCAAGCUCCAUUCCGAUGCCCGGACUAACCGGCACCACUUAUAUCCAUCACCGGAGUGGGUUCCCGCCGCACCUCCUUGAGCUGCUGCCGCAUCAGCUGCUGGGGCGUAACGAUGUCGUGGGAGCAAAGACAUUUGAGAUUAAGUACAUGAGCAGCUUUCUCUUGAAAUCAUCGUCGCUUGUUUCCAUCGCACCAAGCAUAUUCGCGAAAGCAGAGUUCGCCGGGAGGGACGUAAGCCCAGGGAACAUUUCAGGAUAAAGACGUGCUUUCACUUUCGUAUCAACCUUGUAUGGGACAUCCAUGCCGCCAUUGGGGACACCAAGUGUGUUGAAAACAGAUUCCUCAUCUAAUGGAAUCCUACCACGUCCUGGUAUGACAAAUUCCCUCUUGUCCGGAUGGUAUAACCUCGCAAACCAGUCGCACACGGGGUUAUUCAAGUUGGUGCACUGAAUGUUCAUCACCGCUUGCAUCCCCAUUUCCUUUGCAGCUUCUUUCUUGGCGUCAUCGAAACCUUCAUACAGUUCUGUUAGACGUUCAUGUGAUCCCCUGUUGCGCGCGGCUUUCUGCUGUUGAACGCAUGUGCGGAAUUUAAGUUAAAAAGAAAAUAAUCGGAGCUUAGGGGUUAGCACCAUCAUAAACAAACAUGUUUAAUGGAGAGAGACAGUCAUAUGGAUUCUACAUACCUUCUUUACAUUUACACAUCCGAAAGUAAGUACUACUAGCUAGUUCCGCACAUCUCCCGUUGAUUCUAGCUAGUUUCAUCAAUACCAUUUAUAAUGCUUGAUUAUCAGUUUGAUUGACCUCUAUUUCUCUUAAAGUGGUUGUGGCAGGACGGCGGGAAUAAUUUUUGUGGAUACUACAUUUGCGAGUACAUCUACAACGCGAUGACCUCUAAGCGGGUCUAUUCUAAAGAAGAUUAUGAAGUGCGUAAGCAAUAAUAUUCAGAAUUUUAUUUUAUUACCAUCAUUUGUGUUGAGUUUCAUUCAUAUAUAUGUAUUGACCCCCUUCUUCAAAUUAGCUUUGGCAACUACGGGAUGAACUCCUACCACAAGAUCGCAUAAAAGCAAUUCAAGAGGAAUUGGCGGGAUUCUUUCUUGACCACGUCAUAGAUAAAGACGAAGAAUACCAUGUGAAACUUGACAUCAGAUGUUAGGGAUUGUAAGAGAUCUUAUAUUGUAUAUAUGUAUCUAGUAGCGUCGGAUAGAUAUACAAAAACUUGUUAUUCGACCAAUCUCUCGGAGAAAGAGAGGUCGAUCACUUCUCUUUGUAUAUGUUCAUGACGAUCUUGUGUACUUAAUGGUUUCCUUCAUUUGCUUACUAGCUAGCGUGUCGAGAGUCCUCUCUAUACGUAUAGUAUGUAGCAUCGACCAAGCACGGAGAUAAGAGAGGAGACUUCUCUCUAUUAGCUAGCCAACACAAUAUAUGAAACCANNNNNNNNNNNNNNNNNNNNNNNNNNNNNNNNNNNNNNNNNNNNNNNNNNNNNNNNNNNNNNNNNNNNNNNNNNNNNNNNNNNNNNNNNNNNNNNNNNNNNNNNNNNNNNNNNNNNNNNNNNNNNNNNNNNNNNNNNNNNNNNNNNNNNNNNNNNNNNNNNNNNNNNNNNNNNNNNNNNNNNNNNNNNNNNNNNNNNNNNNNNNNNNNNNNNNNNNNNNNNNNNNNNNNNNNNNNNNNNNNNNNNNNNNNNNNNNNNNNNNNNNNNCCCUGCUAACACGUGGAUGCCUUUUAGUCCUGGUUGGUGCUACCAACCGGGACAAAAGGGCCUCCUGCCUGGGCAUGCCACAGCGGCCACGUGGAGCCCCAUCUGUCUCGGUUCAUAGAAGAACCGGGACUAAAGGUAUUGAGCUUUAGUACCCACCUUUUAGUCCCGGUUCCGGAACCGGGACAAAUGGGCCAUAUGAACCGGGACAAAUGGGCCUUUUUCUACUACUGAAGGCGAAAAGCCGGCAGCGCCGCGCGUGCUAUCGGCCUGACGAACUGCCCUCCUAGUCGAUCGACGUGUGUGUUAUUGCGAUGCAUGUCUGGCUAGGUAGCUGCUAUACUAGAUGGGCUUGGGCAGGCCGUAGAAGUCUUUGGGCUAUUCUCGAUAUAUAGGAAGAAGAAGCAGGACGAAAAAAAUGGCUACGCAUGCUACAGACUGCUGCGUGACUACCCAGGAGGGGGCCCCUUGAUCUCGGGGGCCCGGGGCGGCCGCCCCCCGCCCCCCUCCCCCCCUCAGGGCCGGCCCUGCGCUUACGGUUAGGAUAGGCUCGACCUCUCUCUCUCUCUCUCUCUCUCUCUCUCUCUCUAAUGAAGGUACUUCUUUGUCAAAUUGUAGAAAUUUCAGAAAAAAUGCAGCACCCAGAAUUGAAGGUAUUUUUUUCAGUUACUAUCAGUGUGAACCCAUUGCAAUUUUUUUUUCCGAAACUCUCUUCAAGGCCAUGUCAGGUAAUGAGAAUUAUUGCACACAUUUGUUUCUUUUAGUGGCAAGCAGUUAUAAUAUUACCAGUUGUCUUGGACAUAUAAUUGCGAUGUAAUUUCUUUAGUUUUUUCAAAAACACUCCUUGACCAUCUUUCUUGUUUCUAUAUAAAUCCAUUUUCACAUAUAUAUGGCUAUGCACACAAUUUUUUUCAUACGCCUCCCAAAGUUGUGAGCCAGAUUACAUUAAUAUUCAUAAUGGAAAAGAGUUUUACAAAGAACAAUUCAUGGCUUAAACCCAAAAGGAAAAACAUAAAUAGGGCUAAGAGCCAAGAAUGAAGCAUCAUCCAUGUGCACACAUGCACGGCGGGUUACUCGGCAACCAGCAUAAACGAAAAGAUUAAGAUGGAGUAACUAAUUAAUAAUAUAAUCAUAAUAACUACUCAAUAUGCUAAAAUAUACUUCCCCCGUUUUUAUUUAGCAGAGUAUUAGCUUUUGUCAAAGUCAAGCUUUGUAAACUUUGACAAAGUUUAUAAACAAAAAUAUUAACAUAUACUAUAACAAAUCAAUACCAUUAGAUUCAUUGUUGAAUGUACUUUCGCAUCAUAUAGAUUUUUUAUGGUAAAUGUUUAUUUGUUUUCUAUAAACUUGGUCAAACUUUACGAAGUUCGACUUCAGGCAAAUCUAAUAUGCAGAGUAAAUAAAAACAGAGGGAGUAUCUUGUGGUGAUCGCAUAAGAGAUUAAGUAUGUAUUGAAUGUCUAAUGAUUGCAACUACAAGUAUUAUUUCGGUAACGCUGUAUUUAGAAAUAUAAAUAAAUAUCUAAGGUGUUGCCCUAGCGAGUAGUUCAACUUAGUGUGGUGAUCUAGAUACUCGCCUAUAAGUCAACUUUUCAAUCAUUAAUGCAUGGUGCAAGUUGCACAUACAAGAAGUAGUACGUGGUACUCCUACUCCUCGACGACUUGGGAUGAUCAAGUGGUAAACUUGGUGUGGGGUGUUCUUGACUAUAAGUAGCAUGGUCUAUCAGAUGGGCAGUAAAUCGUAUGGUAGCUCAGAUCAUCCUUAUAUAUCUUGUCUUCUUCUCUUCUAAUGGCUUCAUCAGGUGCAGCCGUUGUCGCCGUGCUGGUCGUCGUCCUGCCGGGAAUGGGAUGGCCGGCGCCGGCGUCGGCGGAGGGGAAAACAACGGCAUGCAAGGACUGCAACUCGACGUGUGCCAGCAGCAUCAACUCGUGGGAGCCGCAGGAAUGCGGCAGCGGCGCCUGUAGAUCACCAGUGCCGGAGUGCGUGGAGGAAUGCAUCAAGCAGUGCAGUUAUGCCUGCAGUUAUCCCAAAUCCGAGACGUGGGAGAGACUGUUGACAUAUAUUGCCCACUCUUGCUUGGUUUGGACUUUCUGAUGAAUUGACUUGUGCAUGAAUUUUCUUGAUUAAUUCAUUCAUCGUUUGUUCUUUGAAUGGAUGCCAAGUGGUUUAAACAUACUAGUGUGCGACCACAAAUUUCAGAGAUGGUACACUAGUUGUCUUGUUAAUACAACAUGAGCUCACUCUCCCCUGGCCUAUCUGUGACCGGAUCAACAAACAUCAAAAUAACGACAUCAUAUAGACAAAUCUAAAGUGGUGUGUCUUUUAGUAAGCUAUAUUGGGUUGUCACGGAAAGACAUGAUACAGAUAGGCUGAUGUACAAGAUAGUGCGGAUGGACUGAUAUUCUGUUGCUCUGCCGGGGAAUGGGCCGAUGUACAAGUGCACCAUCCGGGUUCGGGAGGAUAGGGAAAUGGCAGGAAAAUGGACGGAAACUGAAUGUGAGAUGCGUAAUAAGCCGUAGAAAGAUCAGGCAGAGGCCGCACCCCAUAGGUACUCGCCAGCACUGGUGGUUUCUUGUUUCCACUCGCCUACACGUGUUUACAAUUGUAGUCGCUUUCAAAAUUCAAGCGGCUUCAAAUGUUCGUGCGGGCUGUUUCAUAUUUCGAACCAACUUCGGAUCCGCAUAUUGGAAAAAUAACCACCUGCGCUGAGCUUAUUAUAGGUGGCGUUGUUUUGCUUGGUCACAACUGCUUCUAGGGGCCACUGCUAAUGCUCGAUUUUCUUCUAGUGUCAACCUUCACUUUAGGGAACCACCGAUGUUCAUCGAUCGAACGCAAGAUUCACGUUUCCAUCGGACCACUAGGCCAUGCUUCCCACUUCUCCCGCUGAAAUAGGCCACCACUUUCUACAAAAUUGCGUUGUAGGCCGUCCAUCAACCUAGAUGAAGUCUUUCAUCAAACCCCCAACUCCACCUUAACAUAAUUCCAUGGUACUUGUACGCUGGCACCCCACACCUGUCGACACCAAGCUCCCAUGUGUAUACCGUUUUCAAAUCUACACUACGCCAUUGCCAUGUUAAAUUGCACAACGCCUCAACACCGCGACGCAUGUUGCCUCACCCAAAAAUGGUAACCAUCGCCAACAUGACCAUAUGUCUUUGUCAUUGAUGUCACCACCUUCGCCUAUUUGGAAUGACCACACGUCGAUCCGCUAGUAUUUCUAAGCCUUAUUUUUGCGAACUUGGUCGAACAUAUCUGACAGUAACCAUGCCCAUGUUGGGGAACGUUGCAGAAAACAAAAAUUUUCCUACUCGUUUCACCAAGAUCCAUCUAGGAGUUCAUCUAGCAACGAGUGAUCGGAUUGCAUCUACAUACCUUUGUAGAUCACGCGCGGAAGCGUUCAAAGAACGGGGAUGAGGAAGGCGUACUCGACGUGAUCCAAAUCACCGAUGACCAGCGCCGAACGGACGGCACCUCCGCGUUCAACACACGUACGGGACGGGAGACGUCUCCUCCUUCUUGAUCCAGCAAGGGGGAAGGAGAGGUUGGUGAAGAUCCAGCAGCACGACGGCGUGGUGGUGGAUGCAGGGCGUCACAGUAGCAGGGCUUCGCCUAUGCUACAAGAGGGAGACGUAACAGGGAGAGAGGGAGGCGCCAGGGGCUGGUGUGUGAAGUCCCUCCUCUUCCCCACUAUAUAUAGGGGUGCCAUGGGGGGGGGGGCGCCGGCCCUAGUAGAUGGAUCUACUAGGGGGGGGGGCCUAGGGUGGGGGGCUUGCCCCCCAAGCAAGGGGCGCCCCCUCUAGGGUUUCCCCCCCAACCCUAGCCGCAUGGGCCCUUGGGGGGUGGAGCCCCAGCCCACUAUGGGCUGGGUUCCCUCCCACUUCAGCCCAUGGGGCCCCCCCCGGGAUAGGUGGCCCCACCCGGUGGACCCCCGGGACCCUUCCGGUGGUCCCGGUAUAAUACCGGUGACCCCGAAACUUGUCCCGAUGGCCGAAACAGCACUUCUUAUAUAUAAUUCUUUACCUCCGGACCAUUCCGGAACUCCUCGUGACGUCCGGGAUCUCAUCCGGGACCCCGAACAACAUUUGGGUUACUGCAUAUACAUAUCUUCACAACCCUAGCGUCACCGUACCUUAAGUGUGUAGACCCUACGGGUUCGGGAGACAAGCAGACAUGACCGAGACGACUCUCCGGUCAAUAACCAACAGCGGGAUCUGGAUACCCAUGUUGGCUCCCACAUGCUCCACGAUGAUCUCAUCGGAUGAACCACGAUGUCAAGGAUUCAAUCAACCCCGUAUGCAAUUCCCUUUGUCAAUCGAUAUGUUACUUGCCCGAGAUUCGAUCGUCGGUAUCCCAAUACCUCGUUCAAUCUCGUUACCGGCAAGUCACUUUACUCGUACCGUAAUGCAUGAUCCUGUGACCAGACACUUGGUCACUUUGAGCUCAAUAUGAUGAUGCAUUACUGAGUGGGCCCAGUGAUACCUCUCCGUCAUACGGAGUGACAAAUCCCAGUCUUGAUCCAUGUCAACCCAACAGACACUUUCGGAGAUACCCGUAGUCUACCUUUAUAGUCACCCAGUUACGUUGUGACGUUUGGUAUACCCAAAGCACUCCUACGGUAUCCGGGAGUUACACGAUCUCAUGGUCUAAGGAAAAGAUAUUUUGACAUUGGAAAACUCUAGCAAACGAACUAUACGAUCUUGUGCUAUGUUUAGAAUUGGGUCUUGUCCAUCACAUCAUUCUCCUAAUGAUGUGAUCUCGUUAUCAAUGACAUCCAAUGUCCAUAGUCAGGAAACCAUGACUAUCUGUUGAUCAACGAGCUAGUCAACUAGAGGCUUACUAGGGACAUGUUGGUGUCUAUUAUUCACACAUGUAUUACGAUUUCCGGAUAACACAAUUAUAGCAUGAAUAAAGACAAUUAUCAUGAACAAGGAAAUAUAAUAAUAAUGCUUUUAUUAUUGCCUCUAGGACAUAUUUCCAACAGUCUCCCACUUGCACUAGAGUCAAUAAUCUAGUUACAUUGUGAUGAAUCGAACACCCAUGGAAUUCUGGUGUUGAUCAUGUUUUGCUCUAGGGAGAGGUUUAGUCAACGGAUCCGCUAUAUUCAGGUCCGUGUGUACCUUACAAAUCUCUAUGUCUCCAUCUUGAACAUUUUCACGAAUGGAGUUGAAGCGACGCUUGAUGUGCCUUGUCUUCUUGUGAAACCUGGGCUCCUUGGCAAGAGCAAUAGCUCCAGUGUUGUCACAGAAGAGCUUGAUCGGCCCCGACGCAUUGGGUAUGACUCCUAGGUCGGUGAUGAACUCCUUCACCCAUAUUGCUUCAUGUGCUGCCUCUGAGGCUGCCAUGUACUCCGCUUCACAUGUAGAUCCCGCCACGACGCUUUGCUUGCAACUGCACCAGCUUACUGCCCCACCAUUCAAAAUAUACACGUAUCCGGUUUAUGACUUAGAGUCAUCCAGAUCUGUGUUGAAGCUAGCGUCGACGUAACCUUUUACGAUGAGCUCUUCGUCACCUCCAUAGACGAGAAACAUUUCCUUAGUCCUUUUCAGGUACUUCAGGAUAUUCUUGACCGCUGUCCAGUGUUCCUUACCGGGAUUACUUUGGUACCUUCCUACCAAACUUACGGCAAGGUUUACAUCAGGUCUGGUACACAGCAUGGCAUACAUAAUAGAACCUAUGGCUGAUGCAUAGGGGAUGACGCUCAUCUCUUCUAUAUCUUCUGCCGUGGUCGGACAUUGAGAUGAGCUCAAUUUUAUACCUUGUAACACAGGCAAGAACCCCUUCUUAGAUUGAUCCAUAUUGAACUUCUUCAAUAUCUUAUCAAGGUAUGUGCUUUGUGAAAAACCUAUGAGGCGUCUCGAUCUAUCUCUAUAGAUUUUGAUGCCUAAUAUAUAAGCAGCUUCUCCAAGGUCCUUCAUUGAAAAACUCUUAUUCAAGUAGGCCUUGAUGCUGUCCAAGAGUUCUAUAUCAUUUCCCAUCAAAAGUAUGUCAUCUACAUAUAAUAUGAGAAAUGCUACAGAGCUCCCACUCACUUUCUUGUAAACGCAGGCUUCUCCAUAAGUCUGCGUAAACCCAAACGCUUUGAUCAUCUCAUCAAAGCGAAUGUUCCAACUCCGAGAUGCUUGCACCAGCCCAUAAAUCGAGCGUUGGAGCUUGCACACCUUGUCAGCAUUCAUAGGAUCGACAAAACCUUCCGGCUGCAUCAUAUACAAUUCUUCCUUAAGGAAACCAUUAAGGAAUGCCGUUUUGACGUCCAUUUGCCAUAUCUCAUAAUCGUAGAAUGCGGCAAUUGCUAACAUGAUUCGGACGGACUUUAGCUUCGCUACCGGUGAGAAAGUCUCAUCGUAGUCAACCCCUUGAACUUGUCGAUAACCCUUAGCGACAAGUCGAGCUUUAUAGAUGGUCACAUUACCAUCCGCGUCUGUCUUCUUCUUAAAGAUCCAUUUAUUUUCUAUGGCUCGCCGUUCAACGGGCAAGUCAGUCAAAGUCCAUACUUCGUUUUCAUACAUGGAUCCUAUCUCGGAUUUCAUGGCUUCUAGCCAUUUGUCGGAAUCCGGGCCCGCCAUCGCUUCUUCAUAGUUCGAAGGUUCACCGUUGUCUAACAACAUGAUUUCCAAGACAGGGUUGCCGUACCACUCUGGUGCGGAACGUGUCCUUGUGGACCUUCGAAUUUCAGUAGGAGCUUGAUCAGAAGUAUCUUGAUCAUUAUCAUUAACUUCCUCUCUAGUCGGUGCAGGCACCUCAGGAACAUUUUCUUGAGUUGCGCCAUUUUUCGGUUCAAGAGGUAAUACUUCAACAAGCUCUACUUUCCUCCCACUUACUUCUUUCGAGAGAAACUCUUUCUCUAGAAAGGACCCAUUCUUGGCAACAAAGAUCUUGCCUUCGGAUCUGAGGUAGAAGGUGUACCCAAUAGUUUCUUUUGGGUAUCCUAUGAAGACGCAUUUUUCCGACUUGAGUUCGAGCUUUUCAGGUUGAAGUUUCUUGACAUAAGCAUCGCAUCCCCAAACUUUCAGAAAUGACAGCUUAGGUUUCUUCCCAAACCAUAAUUCAUACGGUGUCGUCUCAACGGAUUUCGACGGAGCCCUAUUUAAAGUGAAUGCGGCAGUCUCUAAAGCAUAGCCCCAAAAAGAUAGCGGUAAAUCGGUAAGAGACAUCAUAGACCGCACCAUAUCUAAUAGAGUGCGAUUACGACGUUCGGACACACCGUUACGCUGAGGUGUUCCAGGCGGCGUGAAUUGUGAAACUAUUCCACAUUUUCUUAAGUGUGUGCCAAAUUCGUGACUCAAGUAUUCUCCUCCACGAUCUGAUCGUAGAAACUUGAUUUUCCUGUCACGUUGAUUUUCAACCUCACUCUGAAAUUCCUUGAACUUUUCAAAGGUUUCAGACUUGUGUUUCAUUAAGUAGACAUACCCAUAUCUACUCAAGUCAUCAGUGAGGGUGAGAACAUAACGAUAGCCACCGCGAGCCUCAACACUCAUUGGACCGCACACAUCAGUAUGUAUGAUUUCCAACAAGUUGGUUGCUCGCUCCAUUGUUCCUGAGAACGGAGUCUUGGUCAUUUUACCCAUAAGGCAUGGUUCGCACGUGUCAAAUGAUUCAUAAUCAAGAGACUCCAAAAGUCCAUCUGUAUGGAGCUUCUUCAUGCGUUUGACACCUAUGUGACCAAGGCGGCAGUGCCACAAAUAUGUGGUACUAUCAUUAUCAACUUUACAUCUUUUGGUACUCACACUAUGAACAUGUGUAGCAAUACGCUCGAGAUUCAUCAAGAAUAAACCAUUCACCAUAGGAGCAUGACCAUAAAACAUAUCUCUCAUAUAAAUGGAACAACCAUUAUUCUCAGAUUUAAAUGAGUAGCCAUCUCGAAUUAAACGAGAUCCUGAUACAAUGUUCAUGCUCAAAGCUGGCACUAAAUAACAGUUAUUGAGGUUUAAAACUAAUCCCGUAGGUAAAUGUAGAGGCAGCGUGCCGACGGCGAUCACAUCGACCUUGGAACCAUUCCCGACGCGCAUCGUCACCUCGUCCUUCGCCAGUCUCCGUUUAUUCCGCAGCUCCUGCUGUGAGUUACAAAUAUGAGCAACGGCACCGGUAUCAAAUACCCAGGAGUCACUACGAGUACUGGUAAGGUACACAUCAAUUACAUGUAUAUUAAAUAUACCUUUGGUGUUGCCGGCCUUCUUGUCCGCUAAGUAUUUGGGGCAGUUCCGUUUCCAGUGACCAUUCCCUUUGCAAUAAAAGCACUCCGUCUCAGGCUUGGGUCCAUUCUUUGGCUUCUUCCCGGCAGCUUGCUUGCCGGGCGCGGCAACCUCCUUGCCGUCCUUCUUGAAGUUCUUUUUACCCUUGCCUUUCUUGAACUUAGUGGUUUUAUUGACCAUCAACACUUGAUGUUCCUUCUUGACUUCUACCUCCGCUGAUUUCAGCAUUGAGAACAACUCAGGAAUGGUCUUUUGCAUCCCCUGCAUGUUGAAGUUCAUCACAAAGCUCUUGUAGCUUGGUGGAAGCGACUGGAGGAUUCUGUCAAUGACCACAUCAUCCGGGAGAUUAACUCCCAGCUGAGACAAGCGGUUAUGUAACCCAGACAUAGCGAGUAUGUGCUCACUGACAAAACUAUUUUCCUCCAUCUUACAGCUGAAGAACUUAUCGGAGACUUCAUAUCUCUCGAUCCGGGCAUGAGCUUGAAAAACCAUUUUCAGCUCUUCGAACAUCUCAUAUGCUCCAUGUCUCUCAAAACGCUUUUGGAGUCCCGGCUCUAAACUGUAAAGCAUGCCGCACUGAACGAGGGAGUAGUCGUCAACACGUGUCUGCCAAGCGUUCAUAACGUCUUGGUUCUGUGGGACGGGUGGAUCACCUAGCGGUGCUUGUAGGACAUAAUCUUUCUUGGCAUCUAUGAGGAUGAUCCUCAGGUUCCGGACCCAGUCCGUAUAGUUGCUGCCAUCGUCUUUCAGCUUGGUUUUCUCUAGGAACGCAUUGAAGUUAAGGACUACGUUGGCCAUUUGAUCUACAAGACAUAUUGCAAAGAUUUUAGACUAAGUUCAUGAUAAUUAAGUUCAUCUAAUCAAAUUAUUAAUGAACUCCCACUUAGAUUAGACAUCCCUCUAGUCAUCUAAGUAUUACAUGAUCCGAGUUAACUAGACCGUGUCCGAUCAUCACGUGAGACGGACUAGUCAACGUCGGUGAACAUCUUCAUGUUGAUCGUAUCUUCUAUACGACUCAUGCUCGACCUUUCGGUCUACUGUGUUCUGAGGCCAUGUCUGUACAUGCUAGGCUCGUCAAGUUAACCCUAAGUGUUUUGCAUGUGUAAAACUGUCUUACACCCGUUGUAUGUGAACGUAAGGAUCUAUCACACCCGAUCAUCACGGCGUGUUUCGAAACGACGAACUUUAGCAACGGUGCACAGUUAGGGGAGAACACUUCUUGAAAUUGUUAUGAGGGAUCAUCUUAUUUACUACCGUCGUUCUAAGUAAACAAGAUGCAAAACAUGAUAAACAUCACAUGCAAUCACAUAAUUAACGUGACAUGAUAUGACCAAUAUCACAUAGCUCCUUUGAUCUCCAUCUUGGGGCUCCAUGAUCAUCUUGUCACCGGCUUGACACCAUGAUCUCCAUCAUCAUGAUCUCCAUCAUCGUGUCUCCAUGAAGUUGCUCGCCAACUAUUACUUCUACUACUAUGGCUAACGCGUUUAGCAAUAAAGUAAAGUAAUUUACAUGGCAUUUCUUAAUGACACGCAGGUCAUAUAAAAGAAUAAAGACAACUCCUAUGGCUCCUGCCGGUUGUCAUACUCAUCGACAUGCAAGUCGUGAUUCCUAUUACAAUAGCAUGAACAUCUCAUACAUCACAUAUAGAUCAUUCAUCAUUCAUCACAACUUUGGCCAUAUCAUAUCACAAACCACUUGCUGCAAAAACAAGUUAGACGUCCUUUAAUUGUUGUUGCAAGUUUUACGUGGCUGAAUUAGGGUUCUAGCAAGAACGUCUUCUUACCUACGUUAAAGCCACAACGUGAUUUGUCAACUUCUAUUUACCCUUCAUAAGGACCCUGUUCAUCGAAUCUGCUCCAACUAAAGUGGGAGAGACAGACACCCGCCAGCCACCUUAUGCAACUAGUGCAUGUUAGUCGGUGGAACCGGUCUCACGUAAGCGUACGUGUAAGGUUGGUCCGGGCCGCUUCAUCCCACAAUACCGCUGAAGCAAGAAAAGACUAGUAACGGCAAGAAAGUUGACAAAUCUACGCCCACAACUAAUUGUGUUCUACUCGCGCAAGAAGAACUACGCAUAGACCUAGCUCAUGAUGCCACUGUUGGGGAACGUUGCAGAAAACAAAAAAUUUCCUACUCGUUUCACCAAGAUCCAUCUAGGAGUUCAUCUAGCAACGAGUGAUCGGAUUGCAUCUACAUACCUUUGUAGAUCACGCGCGGAAGCGUUCAAAGAACGGGGAUGAGGAAGGCGUACUCGACGUGAUCCAAAUCAUCGAUGACCAGCGCCGAACGGACGGCACCUCCGCGUUCAACACACGUACGGGACGGGAGACGUCUCCUCCUUCUUGAUCCAGCAAGGGGGAAGGAGAGGUUGGUGAAGAUCCAGCAGCACGACGGCGUGGUGGUGGAUGCAGGGCGUCACAGUAGCAGGGCUUCGCCUAUGCUACAAGAGGGAGACGUAACAGGGAGAGAGGGAGGCGCCAGGGGCUGGUGUGUGAAGUCCCUCCUCUUCCCCACUAUAUAUAGGGGUGCCAUGGGGGGGAAGCGCCGGACCUAGUAGAUGGAUCUACUAGGGGGGGGGGCGGCCUAGGGUGGGGGGCUUGCCCCCCAAGCAAGGGGCGCCCCCUCUAGGGUUUCCCCCCCAACCCUAGCCGCAUGGGCCCUUGGGGGGUGGAGCCCCAGCCCACUAUGGGCUGGGUUCCCUCCCACUUCAGCCCAUGGGGCCCCCGGGGAUAGGUGGCCCCACCCGGUGGACCCCCGGGACCCUUCCGGUGGUCCCGGUAUAAUACCGGUGACCCCGAAACUUGUCCCGAUGGCCGAAACAGCACUUCCUAUAUAUAAUUCUUUACCUCCGGACCAUUUCGGAACUCCUCGUGACGUCCGGGAUCUCAUCCGGGACCCCGAACAACAUUCAGGUUACUGCAUAUACAUAUCUUCACAACCCUAGCGUCACCGAACCUUAAGUGUGUAGACCCUACGGGUUCGGGAGACAAGCAGACAUGAUCGAGACGACUCUCCGGUCAAUAACCAACAGCGGGAUCUGGAUACCCAUGUUGGCUCCCACAUGCUCCACGAUGAUCUCAUCGGAUGAACCACGAUGUCAAGGAUUCAAUCAACCCCGUAUGCAAUUCCCUUUGUCAAUCGAUAUGUUACUUGCUCGAGAUUCGAUCGUCGGUAUCCCAAUACCUCGUUCAAUCUCGUUACCGGCAAGUCACUUUACUCGUACCGUAAUGCAUGAUCUUGUGACCAGACACUUGGUCACUUUGAGCUCAAUAUGAUGAUGCAUUACUGAGUGGGCCCAGUGAUACCUCUCCGUCAUACGGAGUGACAAAUCCCAGUCUUGAUCCAUGUCAACCGGCAAACAGAAACUAAAGCAGGUGUUGGAUUUCAAACUGGUGUUAAAGAUUAUAAAUUGACUUACUACACACUAUUACGUCUUGUUUUUACUCCUAUAUUGGGAGUUACUCUACAUAUUGCAAUGCCUGAACCCUUUUUAUCUUUUCUGUAUCGGGGAUCGUCAAAAUAAGCAAAAAUAGUAUUUCUACGUAAAACACCCAUAAGGGGGUGGCGGAUGUCAGCGGUUCGAGUCCGCUUAUCUCCGAACUGAAACAUCUUAGUAGCCAGAGGAAAAGAAAGCAAAAGCGAUUCCCGUAGUAGCGGCUAAGGGAAGGAACUUCCUAUUCCGACCGAGGAGAACAUGCCAUUCUACAGGGCGUUUAAUUAUUCGAAUGUAUCAGCAGAAUUUUUUGGAUAACUCGGUUAAUCAUCCUAACCAAGAUCGAUUAUUGGAUUACAAAAGGCAAUUAGCUAGAGCAGCAGGUGUUGUAGCGAAACUCAUUGCAAAAGAGGGUAAAACUCGGCAAAAUAGCCCCAUAACUUCGGGAGAAGGGGUGCCCCCUCACAAAAGGGGGCCGCAAUGACCAGUUGGUUGAACCUUAGGUGGUUCUCGGAAGAAGAUAGCGAAAAAAAUUAUCCCUAAAGUCGAAACUAAAAGGAACGUAGCUUCCAAGGUUAAAGGUAGAUGAACAGCCAUUUGAGCGCUAUAGACUUCAAUGCGGUAGAGUAGACGUUUUGUUCCUAAUUUUUCUAGACCAAACCUCCGCUCCGACCCAACGAUACAAUGAAUUUUUUCUGUUCAUAUUCAUAAAUAAAAAAGAUUCGGAAUCACCGACUGUUGCUAAGCAGUUUUGGGAUACUAAACGGACCUCCCCAGAUGGUAAUCUUAAAGUGGUCGAUUUACCCUCUUUUGCAAUGAGUUUCACCUUUCCUCAACCUUCCCCUCCUAAAUCUUAGAAUCCUAAUGCCACAGAAGGACCAGUGGUGAUACAAUCGGACACCUUGAAGUAUUGGUUACAUUGUCCAGGGAGGGUUUAUUAUGGUCAGCGUAUUGGCAUCUUGUGUCUGAUAUCAAGUUACUGAUGACUGAGAGAGAGAGUUUAUUCCUUUGUAGAUUAAACGUGAACAAAUUAGGGCAGCAGAUCGACUGGCGCCGUAUAGUCGCACUAAGCGUAGCACGCGGUAAGAUACAUCCAGGACCACCAUGUAUUGACGGGCUCCUGCCUCUCUACUAUAACUCUGUUAUUAUGGAAGAAAUUUCUUUCACCCCCCUCCUAAAAAAAUGAAAGAAGAUAUGCACACAUGCAUGCCAUUUAUCGGGACCUAAAGCCGGGCUUGACCGUCAUAUCGUAUCGUGCGGAAAUUGUUGGAUUCAACACACAUGCAUGCCUAUGAUGUUUGAGUCGUGCACGUACGUGACUACAUGAGUUGGAGAUCGUGCGUGUUACGCUACCAAACGACCAUGCUGGGCACGGCAUCAAUUAAUCUCCAAUUACGUACGUACUCAUUAUAUAUUGCCAGAGAUCAGAGUUCGAUCUACCCCCCACGUACGCACAGUCGACCUAGCCAAAAUUGUUGAUCCACGGAGAGGGCUAUUCGAUUGACGAUGGGUGAUCCGUCGGCGGUCCACCUUCCCGACCUCGUGCUCGCGGAGAUCUUCGUGCGGCUGCCGUCCAAGGACUUCCACCGGUGCCGCUGCCUCUCCCGCGCCUGGGCAGCCGCCCUCUCCUCCGACGACCUCAUCGACCGUCACCUCUCGGUGCACGGCAAGAUCCGGCUGCACUACGACGACGUCAUGACACACCUCGUCUUCGAGUGCUCCAUUCGCCGUCGCAUAGUGACAGAGCUCGAGAGCUUGGGCGACGGCGAGACGUCUUCCGAGGAGAAAGAGAGCAGCGAGCGCGACUGUGAGGUGCCAGAAGAGAACGAGAACGGUCAGGAGACUCCCAAGGAAGACGAUAAUGAAACAGAUGAUGAUGAUGAUUUUAAUUUCGAAGAAGAGUGUUGGCGAGAGGAAUACCGGACCAAAGGCUAUGUGGAGGCAUACGAGGACUACUAUACUGCGAUGCCAUAUUGCAAUGCAUUGUGGGAAAAGGCAAAGGAGGAAAUUCUUGGGAUCAAGGCUACCGACUCCAAUGACUAUGACGAAGCCAGCGCCAUGCUCCUUAAAGCAUGCACCGUUCCAUACGGUGCUCUCCAUCCCCGCAUCCGGCAACCGUUCUUGGAAGAGGACCCUUCCAUGCACCCCUUGAGCGGCCAAGGAAAAUCAAAAGGGCAUAUUGACGCCAGGAGUAUUCGUGGCCGCGAGAGGACGGAAGAGGAGGUCGACCAAGAAAUCAUUGCUUUUCUCAGGAGAUUACGUGAUAUGGACCCACAAGCACCAGUAAGUGACCGAUCAACUUUCUGAUAGAACAUCCGUUGAUGUCUAAGUAGCUAAUUGUAUGUGGUUAGUUAAAUAAUUCAAAUAUCUACAUGUAUGUUGAUGCAGCUUUUGAGGGAGUUUGAUACCUACCAGUUGCCACCCAUACCUCCGCAAGGGCAAGACGGGGUGGUUUCUUUUGAGGAAGGGGUUGUGCAAGAAGAUGGCUCCGACUACUCGGAUAAUGGGGAUGUUUGCCAGCACUCUGUCGUCGACGACUCUUAGAUUCAAACACAGUAAUAUAUAUGACAAGUCAAUCUACCAGCCGAUUUAAUUUUAUGAUAGAUGAUACAUUUGUGUUUUCAAAGCUAUAUGCCUUAGCGGGUGACAUAUAUCUAUUAAUUAUUUGUUAUCUCAGAAAUCUUGCAGUUUAUAUGAGUUUCGUUCUUGCCAAGACUGAACACACAAGCUAUACGCCUAUUCACUAGUGGUGUAAUCUUAUCUAUGUUCCAUAUUUUUUUAGGUGACAAAUAAAAUAAGGGUUGUGCCACGAAAUUAAAUUCCCCACAAAAUAACCGUGCAAGCUGUGCUAUAGCUGCCCCGGAGCCUCUCCGCUAUGCCAUGGCUGCUGCUGCGAAAUCCUCGACAAUGCUUUCUAAAUGCAUGGCUCCGAGAUCAGCAAAAACCUCAAGAAAUCAUCUCUCCCACCUGAAAAAUUGCUGCGGUUGCCGCUAUGACGUCGGCUAUAGCUGCUGCAAAGGCAGCAAUGAAAUUGUUUCUCCCGGGAUUUUAAUCUUGCUAACAAAUACUAGCAAAACUCUGUUGUUUGCUAAAUUGCCUCACGAAUCCUCUUGACAGAAAAGUCAUCGUUGUGAUCGGUGGAGCGUCGCUUAUUCCCUGAUUGUUGGUGGCUCCGCAGAGCAUCUACGAAGGCGUGCUCGAAGUCUUGCAGCGUCGAGGGCAAAAAGGAGGCAAAGGCAACUCGGGGUGAGAGCAAGCUGGGACGGUAGCCGCUAUAGACGUUCCACCGAUUCUCCUCAGUUUUUUUCCAGUCGAAUUCCGAUUGUGCUAGGGUUGCCGGCAGCUGGAUCCGAUGGUCCCAUUCCGAGAAACCGCCCGCUAUGGCUUUAUUCCCAUUUGCCUUGAUCUUGUACUGGUGGAGAAUAUCACCUAACCUAUAACACAGCAUGCCGUCGCCGGCGUCGAACCAGGCGCCGCUCGGCGGGUCGUUGCCGUCGUCAAACCAGGCGCCGCUUGGCGGGUCGUUGCUGUCGUCGUUCACAUGGAAGGUGUAGCGCAGCUCCCAGCCAUGCAGCCGUUCGCCGUCGUCCCUGUGAUCCUUAGGCGGCACGACAGCAGCAGCUACUGGAGCAGAGCAGCGGGUGGUGGUGCGGCAUGGAGGCCGUUCGAUAUAUUGCUCGUGGCCUCCGCUAGCUCCGUCGCUAGCUGCUACCUCUAUGCCAUUUCUUCUGCUCCUUGACUGCAAGUUGCCUCUGCCCCGCCGCUAACAAGCUGGUUCUUUCCUCUGAGCUGAUUCCUCUCGCUGUAGACUUCCUCCUCUAAACCAACUACUGCUGUCGCAUGAAGGCAUCUACUAUUCAGUUUUUUCUCCUCUGAUUUUCCAAUCGAAUCUUGGUGUUGUAGCUUCUAUGGAUUUGUGCGCACGAGGAAGAAAAUAGAAGAUAAGAGAGUAAGCACAUACGGUGGUGGAAGGAUAACAAGUUUGUCCUGAAGCUAGCUAUGGUUGCAUGGUGAAAUGAAACUACACGUGGAGUGGAAAGUAAAGCAUGUGUCAGUGCUCACGGAUGAAAGUGCCUGAGUGGCAUUUUAAUUUGAGUUAAAAAAUUGUUGGGGGAAGUUAGUCUCGCGGUUGAAAAUCUUGAGUGCCGUGCAGUUUGCUAUGUGAUGUUCUUACACUUCAGUUAACCUGUUUCUUUUUGUUAGAAAAUAAAUUAAAGAAAACAGUUCUUUUCCUGAUGUGGGUAGUUUACUUGUGCAUUGCCCUUGUAAUUCUGCACUUAGUUGCCAUGGCCUACUUGACGAGGAGGUCGAUGUUGGGCGGAGGCGGGAUCUUUAGCAUCCCGCCGGUGACGGGGUUGCAGACGAAGACCGGCCAAUCCGUGUACUUGCCCCCGGGCGCGGCGAGGAGGAGGUAGCCAUUGCAGGCGUUGACGGGGCUGUAGGCGGGGGCUAGAUCGGUGAUGCGGCCCAUGACCUUGGCCGUGGUGGGGUUGAGGACGACCAUGUCCAGGCCGAUGCCCCUGACGCGGAUCUCCAACACCGCCAACGCCUCCGCUGGGGUGCUGCCGGGGGUGAACACGACGUGGGCGGCAUGGCUGUGGAGGUAGACGAAGGAUGGGUUGGUGAGGAUACGGCGCCAUUGCCAUGAGACGCAGCGGCCUCAGGCGACGUCUCUCGUCGGCAGCCUAAAAAGGAUGUCACGCAAAGUCUCCUCAGCUAUCGACUCCAUCGAUCGUGUCGUGGAACCAACACAACGAUCGACUCAUACCCAGGCAUGGCAUAUAUAUAGCUAGCCUCGCGUCUUGAAACGGGGUCAAAACCGAGUCGGACAGUGAACCAAUCCGAUUCGGGCACUGAACAGUUAGGCAAUCCGAUUUGGUGCACCCGUCUCGUCAUCAUCUUGUCUAUUUUCCUUCGUUAGCUAGCAAGCACCCAGGGGGGAAAAGGAAUAAAUUCAUCUUUUAAACUUGACGGCACUUUUUGGAAAACUACAGCGUAGUGAAUUUGAGUAAUCUUUACCUUAUUUAAAUUUUCUCACAUUCUUUGACCUGAACUUGUUACAUUGUUUACUCCAUUUAUAUAAAUAGUUUCCCCGAUUCUUUUUCCCAAAUUAUAAGUGCCGCACGUUAGGAAUGUCGAAUUUCAGCCCGAGCGCCCCCCGUCCCCCCGGCCGUUGGAUUGUCACACAAAUCUUCCACACCGAAAUCAGCCACGUCAGCGCUAAAAUCCGGUCGGGCUGAAUGAAAACCGUCACGAAUGCCUCCCACUCACCUCAUGACACCACUUCACUCCUCCCGUUCCCCAUUUCCAUCCCACGAACUCCACUCACCCAUCACUAGACGAUGAGGCAAGUGGCCGCCCACGAUACCUAGCAGGUCGCUGGUGUGGGGGUUGGUGUGUGGCAUGGCUGGGCCCUAGGGACGCCCGAUGCCCACCUCUUCGGCCGCACGUCGUCUCCUCCAGCAUCCGUCGGGAUUUUCCAGCAGGUGACUCCGCUGUAUCUUCCCGCCGGCAACAUCCGCUCUCCCGGAAGCCUCCCUCCUUAUCCGCGGUGGUGGCCGCGCUCAAGUACCAGGGGCGAUGCCAAAAUGGAGCACUACAUCAGGUGGAUCCCAGCCGACGCCGAGUGGUGGCCGACAAGGGCCGCGACGGCGGUAAACAUCAAGUGGAUCAGGCCGGCAGUGAGGGAUCUGGCUUCCUCCGGUGACCCCCUGCGCACAUCAGCACCAUUUCAUUCCCACGUGCAGCUACCCCAUGNNNNNNNNNNNNNNNNNNNNNNNNNNNNNNNNNNNNNNNNNNNNNNNNNNNNNNNNNNNNNNNNNNNNNNNNNNNNNNNNNNNNNNNNNNNNNNNNNNNNNNNNNNNNNNNNNNNNNNNNNNNNNNNNNNNNNNNNNNNNNNNNNNNNNNNNNNNNNNNNNNNNNNNNNNNNNNNNNNNNNNNNNNNNNNNNNNNNNNNNNNNNNNNNNNNNNNNNNNNNNNNNNNNNNNNNNNNNNNNNNNNNNNNNNNNNNNNNNNNNNNNNNNNNNNNNNNNNNNNNNNNNNNNNNNNNNNNNNNNNNNNNNNNNNNNNNNNNNNNNNNNNNNNNNNNNNNNNNNNNNNNNNNNNNNNNNNNNNNNNNNNNNCGUUGUCGGCAUAGACGGCGCCGCCAUGGAGAUCGUCGGCUAUCUACCCGGCUGCAACCUGCUCGCCCGCUUGUCACCUUCCAACCCCAGGUCCUGCCCCCUCCUUCCCCGUGCAUUUUUGUUUCCAGCCCAUUGUUUACCAUUUCCUACACAUUUUUAGUUCCUGCCUUGGUGUGGAAAUUGUUGUUGCCAAAUUUUGUAGCGAAAAUGGCUAAUUUUAGGCAUUAUCUUUUCAUAUGUAUGUAUAUUUACAGAAUUUUUGUAGUUGAAAUGUUGUGGAAAUUGGCUAUUUUCUACACAUUUGGCGUCUCUAAAUGCAUGGUAACUGAAAUGUGGCGCCCCCGUUUAUAAUCGUGCACUAAUCAUACACACAGCAUGCACGAUCACGAACCAUGAAUCACGUCAACAUCACAACACAACUCUAUGACAGAAAUUUAAACAUAAAUCUUUAUAUUACAAGCCAGGGACACGAGGACCCAUAAUACAUCAGUAAUCAAAUUAAAUAUUAUCUAAGUACAGACAUAGUUAAACAAGUUUUGCCUUAAGAAGGCUGAGCAAAACAAUGACACUAGAUCGAAAGGCAAGGCCUCCGAACUACUCCUGGUCAUCGAUCUCCACAUAGUAGGCAACGUCGGGAUAACCUACAUCCCCGUUGCUACCAGCUGUUGUAGCAACCCGGUCGAAUGAAAAGGAUAGCAAAGCAACGGUGAGUACUCAUCCAAAGUACUCGCAAGACUUACAUAAGAUUUGUACUACAUAUGCAUCAGUAUCAAAGGAAUGUGGUAGUAUUUGUGGACUAAACUGCAAAAAUGUCAGAAUAAGUGAGAGAAACUCAUCCUAUGGAAGACUACCAUCAUCUGCGGCCAUCAUCUUGCAGCAGUAGAAGAGAGUAGCGUAAAUGGUAUCAUUGUACACAUACGUAUGGCAAUAACCUGCCCAGAGGUCCUCUUCUCCUCUCUCUAGGGAAAGCGGUCUCCAGGGGUAUCUGUCUCUUAUCUGGGUGUGUUUUAACAGGUAUCCAAUUUUAGUUGUAAGAGGUCGGGAUACUACUCCAAGUCAUCCUGUUGCCGUAGACAUAACUAUUAAAAAAUAUUACUUCUCUAUAGGAGUGCACCACAUUACCCGGUACACUCAAUUACCUCUGGCCGGACACACUUUUCUCAGUAAUGCCUGGCCUCAAAUCAUUGACAAGCCAUAGACCAACCUAGGCUUUCCAGAGAGGUCAAGACGCCGGUCUAAAUCCUAAGUGCGAAAGCGUCAUGGGCUCAUCACCCAAAGCACUACUGCACGUUGCGAGACUAGCCGGGGCCAAGGCGCGCCUCUGUAUAUACAAGCAGGCAUAACCAUCCCACCCCAACAUUUAGCCCGCGUCUCUGAACUAUGACAUCUGAAUUACUUUCGGAGGGAAUGUACGACGCUGAGGCCCCAUGAACCAUUAUCCCGUGCCGUGGUUAGUGCAUAUAUGCCAAAUGGCAGUCCUAGAUCAAAUAAAACAAACUCGUUAAGCGUGUUAUUGUUAUGUAACCGCGGACACUGACUAGGGACCAGGCCCACCUUUCUCCUAGGUGGUCUCUACCUGCCUUGUCGUUCCGCCACAAUGAAUAUCUCGUGUCGGUUGUCGGGAAGGUCCCGAGCUACCACCACAUCCUGGGUGAUACUGCUAACAACUAGCCGCCACAGUGAAUCACUUGCGGGUACUCUCUAAGCCGAUCCGACUUCAAUAUGAACAUGUUUCAUGUAUAGUGUAUGUAAUAUAAAGUAGCAAUAGUGUUCCUCUUCGUUGGCAUCUCAUUGCAGUCCAUCUCGCUCCAUGUCAUAGGCCACCGGAGUCCGGGGUCCAUCGAAGUAACAUAUAUGGUAUGCAGUAUAGGGCAUAUUCAUGAUCAUCACCCAAAGGGAUCGCGGUCCGAUAGUAUAGCAUAGCAGACGGAUAAGGAUGUAGGGCACUGAUGGGACUCUAGCAUAUCUAUACUAAGAAUAUAGGAUAACAUGUAUGGUAUCAACAGUAGUAGCAUAGACAAGCUAUGCAACAGUAUAGGAUGUACCGAUAAAGCAGUAACAAUAUCAUAACUCUAAUGCAAGCAAUAGAGAGAAGUAAUAGGUGAUAUCAGAAUGAUCAACGAGGUUUUGCUUGCCUGGAAGCUCUAUCGAGAAGGGAAGGUCAUCGUCGAUGUAGUCGUACUCGGGGCCAACAACAAUCUCGGAGUCUACCGGAGAAGGAGGGGGAAGAAACAAUAAAUAUAAAACAUACAAAUGCAUCACAAAACAUGACAUGAAAAAAUGUUAUGCUAGGGGUGCUCUAAUGCAUUACUGCACAAUUUAAAAGAAGUGGAUAAAUAAUUGGUAAUAUUUUCCCAGCUCCCGGCAUUUUUCGAUAAAUUGAUCCACAUGCAAAUGUUCAAGGUUCAUUAUGUUAGAGGGGUCUGACAGGUAUUUGGAUGGCAUAUGUAGAUUCUUUAUAGUUUUCUGAUUAGUUUUCAUAUAUAAAGUAUUUUCAUCUGACUUAUGGUUUGUUUUAUGAAUUUCCAAAGUUUAAUUUUCUGAAUUUUCUGAACUUAUUUUAUAACUCAAAUUAAAUAGCAAAAUGGCUAUGGGUACCCAAAAGUGUACCCAGCUAGAGUGUGCAUGAGGCUGACAGGUCAGGCUGGUCAACUGCUGACACAACAGUUGACUGGUCAAUGUGUUGACCGGUCAAAGUGGUGACUAGGUCCACCUGUCAUUGACUCAUGCUUAAUUAAAAGGUAAGUUACAUUGUGGGUCGCGCAUGUCAUUUGAACAACUCCGGGUCAUCAUUUCACAAUGAGGGGAUCCUCGUGUAUGUGCCAAAUUCACUAUAAUUCUAGUUAAUUUGUAUCAUUAAAUGCAUGGCAACUAAAAGCAUAUGUUAGACAUGAUGUGUUGCCAUGGCAACUACUUUAGAUGUCAACUCUUUUUACUGUGUUUUUUGGUCCUCGAAACUUGUUAGUUUUUGUAGCAUCUUAGAGAUGCCAAUUUUUCAUUUGAGCAACUUUCUGUCAUCAUUCCAUCAAUGAGUUGAUCCUCAUGUAUGUGCCAAAUUUUUUUCAUUCCUUUUUGCUUAAUAAACAUGAAUUUUUAGACUAGCUGCAUUUUCAUGAUCUAUAUAAUGGGCAUGGCAACUUUGUAUGUGCAUAGGUGACCUUUUUUAUUUUGAAAAACAUGGCAAUUUGUGUGCACAUGAAUUUGGUUUUGACCCUAUAUGCAUAUUGUCCCAUUAGUUUAGUUCAAUAUUUUGACAUGCAAACAUAGAUAUGUUUUUUUGCCAUGACAACUACUAUUUUGCUAUGUUGAAAAGAAGUUUUGUAAUUUUAUGUUUAAUGUGGAUUAGAUCAUGUUGGCACAUUCAAUUUUGAUAGUAUCGUGGAUUAGAUCUGGAGUAGUUUUUUGCCAUGACAACUGCUAUUUUGCUAUGUUGAAGAGAACUUUUAUAAUUUUAUGCUUAAUGUGGAUUAGAUCAUGUUGACACAUCCUGUUCCGACAGUAGUGUGGCAUCGCAAAAUUCUGGAAUAGUUGCCAGUUGCCAUGGCAAAAUUCUGGAGUGGUUGCCAUGGCAGAAUUUUUAUGAGUAGUUUUCAUUGAUAGAAUUGCUAUGACUAGUUGCCAUGGAAAAAUUCUAGAGUAGUUUACAUGGCAAAAUUCUGGAGUAGUUGCCAUGAGAAAAUUCCUAUGAUUUUUUAUAUACCAUGGGAAUUUGUGUAUGAAAAGUUGCCAUGAUAGCUUUCGUUCUACUAUUUUUUUGCCAUGCCAAAGUUCUAUUCAUUCUUUCGUAGAUCACCUUGGUCUUUUUGUCAAUCCACUAUCUUGUCUAUUUUCCCAUGUAUUAGACUUAUGUAAAAAAAUUGGUGUGACAAAUGUUGUAUACUCUUUUUAUCCUACAUUUCAUGAAUUGGACAUCAUUUAGUUUCUUAUACCAUGGGAAAUCACUAUGAGUUUAAAGAUCAUUUUCCAUGGAAAAUUAUCAUAGAUUGACAUGAAAAAUUUACAAUCCUUUUAUAGCUACCAUCUUUUCGUUUAGUAAAUAGCUACCAUAGCAUUUUUUUAUAUGGAUUUUCCAUGUUUUUCUUAAACGAUGGCAAAUUUCUAUUCAUUUUCAGAGAUCGUUUUUGCCAUGUCAAUGUACCAUGGAAAAUAUAUCACAUCGACCAUGGCAAAAACAAUUAGAAACCCAUGACAAAAUCAUACUCCACAUACAUUGGAAUUUUGUUUUAUACACAAUUGCCAUGACCUAGAGAACGUCUUCUGCCAUGCUUUACACAUAGCAUGGAAAUUUUUUAUCAUUUGUUUUCUUUCUAAAUGUUCUAAAAAGUGCCAUCAGAUGACUAUUGGCAAAUUAUUUUUUUGGCAAGUUUUGCCAUGGCAAGUUAUGAUGACAAAGAGCCAAAUUCUAUUGACAAUGUUGUCAAAGUUGUCAUUGACAAAUUAUUCUAUUAAGCAUAAGUUGACUUGGCAAAGUAUUUUAUAAAAUGGCAAAAAAAAGAUGGACAAUAUUUCUUUUUAUUUCCAUGGCAAUUUUUUCCUAUAUUGACAUAGCAAAUUUACAUAUAACGCCCUGGCAAAUUCCUUUAACUUCAUCUAUUUCUUUGAGUUUUUUCUUUUUAUUUUGUCAUGGCAAUUUGACCUUUUUAACAUGGAAAAGUUACUUAUAUUGCCACCGUAAUUUUUGACCUUUUAAAAGGCAAAAAGAAGAUGCUAAAUACUAUGCGUCAUCCGGCUGAUCCUAUGCACGGAUCAGCUGGGUCGAUGGCCAUUGGACGCUAUGCUUCUGGUGCUAUGAUCCCUGAAUUACGAUUCGUAAGGAUUCCAAACCACGUGGGUAGAACCCGUCCAACAAAUUCGUGGACAGAAAUCUCUCGCUCUUUGGUGGCUGGCUGGCUACUCACGUGCGGUAACUGAGUGCAUGGAGCCCCAACAAAAAGUGUUUAUGAGUACUAGUUCUCCUCCUACUAAAUGCUACACAUCCACCUCCAAGAGAAACUAUCAACAAAUUAUAUGCAUAUGUAACAUUGUCACUCAUUCUUUUAUGCUAUAUAUAUGUCAAAGAUCUAAAAUAUAGAGUAAAUUUUUUUAGCGUAUAUAUUUGCAAUCCUCAUUAGUCGCAAAAAAUCCUUUCAAAUAAAUCAUGGCAAAAUACAUGCAAACUAUAAGAAUAAAACUGGUUGCAACACUAAGCUAGUCCUACUAUAGUGUGGGUUUAUUAGUCCUAUCAUAUUUUGAGUCAAAGUUUAACCACAUAUUUUACUAAUAAAAUGUUAGUGCAUGUCAUAAAAAACUAUCUUUGUGUAUUUGUAUUUGUAUGUUGUUUCAAUAAUAUCGUGUUUGCAUGUAUAACUUAUAUAUUUUUAGUUAAAAUCAUGAUUAAAAUAUGACCCAAUAUAGGAGGCAGACUAGUAACCAAUUCGUAGGUAGUAUGAGGAGCAGCAAAUAUUUACUGGAUAACGUUUCUUCAUAGCAGCAUUGGCCUCCGUUAGAGCACCGUGCGACUGAUUUUGCAACACGAUGGUCUGGAUUAAAAAAAUACUAUGUAAUUAUGUGCGUGUUACGACUCAUUCAAAAGAAGAGAGUGCAGCGAACCAACCUAUAAUUGGAUGGUUAGGAGGACAACGGUAUCCCAGCCCCCCAGGGUUCAAAUCCUAGACUUGACAGAGGUUCCAACAUUUUCCUAGAUUUAUUUCAGCCUUUUCCUGCGAUGUGCUAUCAGUGGGAGUAGACUUUCCCAGCAGUCACAUUGUCAAUCUCAAGAUGAUGCGCCUGCUCAGUCUCUUGAAAGUGCUCAUAGGGGUAGGAUAGAAAAAAAUAAAAAUAUAUGUUUGUUCAAUCAAAACAUGUUGGCAUUGAAAAAAUAAACUUAAAAACAUCCACAAUAAGAGGAUACAAAAAGCCGAUGAAAAUAGAGAAAGAUAGAGAAAUAACACAGAUAGACUACAACAGGCAGACUACAACAAAAAUAAAAGAUAGAGAAAGCCCACCAAGCCAUUACUUAGCAACCAUAGCGAAUAACACAGAUGGCUCACCAAGGGUGAGCGGUAGAUUCAAUUUGCCGCCUAUGAGCAUCAAACUGCCGCGGCUUUCCAAAACCUGCUUUUUUGUUUGUUAUCUUUUACACAUUUUUCCAUUUUUUUCAUGUUUUUUGUUUUUCAUGUUCCUUUUAUUUCUCUUUUUUUCUUUGCACUCUUCCUUUUCAUUUCUCUGUUUAAUUUUGUUUCUAUUUUCAUAAUUUCUGAAUUCAUAAAAAAAGUCAUAAUCACAAAAAUUCUUUCAAUUAUCAAAAAAUAAACUUCCAUUUUUUCAUAUUUUCCCUGUUCUUUUUUUCUUUGUAUUUUCUUCAAAUUUUCAAAAACAAAUAUUGAUUUGAUGAAACUUGAAAAAAAAUUAAACGCUUUGCGCUUGCGGCGAUUUCGCCAGACGGUCUUUGCAUUCAACAAAUAUUCAAAUUUUAAAGUAAUGUCAUCAAUUUUGAAAAAAUGUAUGUGUUUUCAAAAAUACACAUUGUUCAACAAUUUUUCUUGUUUUCAUUAAUUGUUUAGAAAUUCUAAAAUGUGCGUGGUUUCAAAUUUUCGUGGAAUUUCCUCCCAUUUUCAAAAUAUUCACAGUUUUCAAAAAUUCUUCAUAUUUUUGAAAAAAUAGAAAUUCGAAUAAAGGCAUUUUUAUAUUUGUUCCCUACUUAAUAAAAUCAUUUCGAAAAUUUCCUCGAAUUUUGAAUAUUAUUAAAACAGUUUGAGUUUUGUUAAACAUAAAUAUUUUUAAAAUGAUCAAAUUAGACCAACCAAAAAAACUGGUUUCCAAUAGUGAACUGGGAACUAACGUGCUUACCGGUCGCUACAGUGAUUGAAAUAUUGUUUGAAGUUCUUCCCAUUUGAAAAAAUCUUCAUGAUUUUUUAUAGCUUGUUCAUUUUUCAAAAAAUAUUGAAAAUAAAAAAUACAUAUUUUUUAAAUAUUUGUUCAAUAUUGUGAAAAAAUCAUGUUGAAAAUUUUCUCGAGUUUCGAAUUUUGUUCACCUUUAAAAAAGACAACUUGAGUGUUUUGAAAAUGCAUACUUUUAGAAAUGAUCGAAAUAAACCAACCAAGAAAUCGGUUUUCAACAGUGAACUGGGAACUACAGUGCCAACCAUGCUGGCUUCGCUUAUUUCGCUAUGUCCAAAAUUGGCUGGCUCAGUAGGACCGAUUUCUGUGCCAAGUGUUGUCAAAUUGAUGCCUGCAGGUGUCAUACAGGAUUUCUCGCCAUGAGUGUGGUGCACGAAUCUAAGUGCCGAUCGAUCUAUGUGCCAAUUGCAAUAUCUGGUCUGCUAUCUUUUAUACAUAUUUCCAUAUAUUUUGUUUUUCAUUUUCUUUUUUCUUCUCUAUUUUUCCUUAGCUUCUGUUCUCUUCAUUUUUCUUUUCCUGUUUAAUUUUGUUUCUAUUUUCAUAAUUUCCAAUUUUUAUAAAACAAAUCAUAGUUACAAAAUUUAUUUCAAUUACAAAAAGUUUUAACUUCCAAAUUUUCUCAUAUUUUUCCUAAUUUUUUUUAUCCUUUGUAUUCUUUUAAGAACUUUCAAAAAAAUAAUCACUUGAUCAAACCUCAAAAAAU
rnacentral:lncRNA from 1 species